rnacentral:lncRNA from 1 species
AUUGUCCUUGGAAGUUUCCUAAGACUUGUGCAAUCUUUAAGGUUCAAGAAAGUAAGCAUCUUUAGCUCACCAAUGGAUUGAUCAACUUCCACCAAAUUUAUGCAAUCUUUGAGCAUCAACUUCUCAAGGCUAGGGAGUCCUGAAAAGGUUGGGGUUUUAAGAAGGCUAUGUGAAUGGUUGAGAUUAAGGAUCUUUAAAUUUGGGAGACACUGCAAAAAAAGAAAACCCUUCUGUUAUAAAUGUAUUAUUGUUUCACACACACACAAAGAAGAAGGAAAAGUAGUAUACAUCAUACCUCUGUAUCCUUCCAAACUUGUUUAAGCUUACUGUUGCGCAUGUCGAGAACAACUAGUUCAUUGAUAUCGAAAUCCACCGGAAAAGAUUGCAUACAAAACCCAUGCCAACGUAACCAUCUUAAUCUUUUGGGAAAGUCUUUGAAGUCUCCUUUAAGUCUUACAUAAUCCAGUUGAAGCAGUUUAAGUCUCUUCAUCUUUGCAAAUGCUUGAGUUUCCAUAUCAACAUCAUUUGCCAUCAGAAACUGACUUUUGAAAUGCUUUGGAAAAUGUAGAGUUGUAUUUGUCCUUUUAGCCUUGUCUUCUAGCAAUCCUUUUAGGUCAAUUGUGAGGCACUUAACUGUUCUGGAACCCUGCAUCAGAAAAACUUUUUUAAAAAAUAAAAAAAAAUUUGAUAAAAAAAGUAGUUUACAUGUACACAAGAAAAAAGUUGAGUAAAAUGAUGUUUCUUACAAUUUUUUCUCUUAUUACAUCAAACGCGUUCUUAUGCCACAAUCUGCUUCGUUUCCCAAUAUCAGAAGAUUCUUGACGAAUAAUUUCUCGUCCCAUAUCUCUAAUCAUUUGGUGCAUCAUUAGCUUAUUUUUUUCAUUAAUGAUUAAGAGAGACCUACCUACUAGAUUUUCAAUUCCAAUUGUUGUAUAAUAAUCACAACCAUCUAAAAUUGUAGUCAUGUAAUCUCUAUCCUUCCCAAUGAAUAAACAAACUAUGUCAAGGAAAAAAUUUUUGUCAUGAUCGUCUUCCAAAGAAUCAUAGCUUAUUCUUAGAAUCUCUUGAAUUUUGCUGUCAGGGAUUUCUUCCAAUUUCUCCAAUGCACUUUUCCAAGAACUCACACUUUUGCUAGAUAAUGAAGAGCCCAAAACUUGAAGAGCUAACGGAAGCCCACCACAGUGUUUCACUAAACUUCUUGCAUAUGCCAUCGAACUUUCAGGCACAGAGUUAUGACCAAAAGCAUACCAAUUAAAAAGUUGUAGCGAUUCACUAGAAGCUAAUUCUUUUACUUCAAAUAGCUUGCUUAAGCCUCCACAGCUAGUUGAUGCUUCCAAAUCAAACAUUUGGCUUAUAAAAUGUGCAUUCAAUAGGCAUCGGUUUCUACUAGUUAUGAUGAUUUUACUUCCCGGAUGAAAAGGAAUUUGAGUUCCCAUUAAUUUUCUUAUUUUUUCCAAUUCAUCAACAUCAUCAAGAACAAGAAGAACUCUUCUACAACAUACAAUUUCUUUGAUCUUGUUAAUUCCAUUAUCUAUAUUGUAUAUUUUAUGCGAUUUUCCUUUAAGGAGAUCUGAAAUAAGUUGUCUUUGCAAACGAACUAAGCCAUUACAAUCUUGACUUGUUUCUCUAACUUGAGCAAGGAAGCUAAAACUUUCAAACCUCGAGAUGUUUUGAUUGUAAACAACUUUGGCAAUGGUUGUCUUCCCAAUGCCUCCAAUGCCACAAAUAGUUGCAAUGCCAACUUUAUUUGCUUCAUCUUGUUCUAACCAUUGAUUAAUUUGUGUCACGAUAGAAUCUAUUCCAACUAAAUAAGGAGGGACAUACAAAGAAAUAGGAUGAAGUUUAUUUUGAACUUCUUUAACAAUAUCUUGAAUAAAUUGUGAUUCAUGCCUGCAAAUUUAAAAAAUACAACUCAAUGCUAAAAUCUUGAAAAUUAAGUAAAAGUUAUUAAUGUAUUUUCUCUUUUCUUGCAUAUAUUUUAAUUGUCUUUAUGAGAUUAUAUGUUCUAAUAAAAAUAAGCAACUAAUGUAACAUUUCAACAUAUAUGAUAGAAUUAUUACAUUCAAAAUCAAAUCAAAUCAAAUAAAGCAACAUAAAAAUUAAUGAAAUUCAUUUAAGAAACAACCUAUACUCAAAUUUCAACUUUCUCUUUGUGAAAGUUUAAUAAAUUCAUGUUAUUUACAUUUAAUGCUUAAACUGAUUACUUGUUUGAUAAAAAGACCUUAUUGAUACAAUACUAAUAUUUUAAUGACUCAAUUAAAACAUGUUAGUGUUUGAGAAAUAAUUUAAAAUCUGAGUUAUAUUUAACCCUUUAAAAUGGAUUGAAGUAGCCAUUUUAAUUUCCAAACGUUACCUAACAAUAUUUUCUAUUAAUUUUCUUUCUACUCUAUCUAUCAAGUCUUAAUGAAAAGGAUUGAAGUAACCAUAUGGAACUUGAUUAUGUGUAUAACAUACCUGUCUUGUAGAACCAUGCCUCCUAUAUCUGCAACUUCUUUUAAAGCAUUCCUCCAUCUUUGUACCAUGGACUUGAAGUUUUGUUCAUGUUGGGUAAAUGCUUCUGCAUAACUUCCCGUCUGGUUCUUGACUUGACUCGGAUCCACAUCAUAGAAAACUGGCAACACAAUGUGUUUAGAGGAUUUCUUGUGCUCCAAUAUCAUUACAAGUUCGUUAAGACACCAUGUGGAUACAGCAUAAUUCUUUGAGAAAACAACGAUAGAAAUUUUGGAGUGGUGUAGUAUUGCUUUUUCAAUUUCAUCUUUUAUGUUAUUCCCUCUCUCGAUUUCCUCAUCAUCUCUAAAUGUUUGAAUUCCUAAGUGCAUCAAAGCUGUGUGAAGAUGAUCCGUGAAACUUUUGCGCGUAUCUUCACCUCUAAAACUCAAGAAUACAUGAUAACUACAUCGCGAGAUUUCUGACAUUGCCAUUGAAGAAGAAAAUGAAGUCGUCCUGUGUUUUUUUUAUGUAAUAACAAGGUUCCAGCAUAUAUAUAUAUAUGAAUGGCAAAGCAGAUAUUAUUAGCAGUCAAGUGGCAGUUCCCAAUCCGUGGUGGGUCAAUCCUUCCACCAGUUCAUACAACUGCCCGAAGAAAUUCAUGUCGGCCACGUUUUUUUUUCCAAAUCUACCAACUUGGGUUACGUAUUCUAUAUUAUUAAUUUUGCUUGACAAAUACAUUGUAUUGAUUAAAUUGAUGGUUAUAGCUAACACAACAGUAAUAUAGAAAUCAUCUUCAGGCUAAUAUUAGUAAAAAUACUAUGAAGGUUCUUGUAUUUUAAGUCAUAUUAUAUUUUGUUUUCUCUACUUAAAGUAUAGUAAAUUAGUCUUUGUAUAUUAAAUUAGAAAGUAAAUUAGUUCUUUUGUUAAAAAAAUUAUCCAUUGUUAUUGUUAAAAAUUAGUCCAUGUAAUCAACAUAAGGUACAUGUGACACGCCACAUGCAACUAUCUGGCUAUUUCGUCAUUCACGUUAGUUUUUAACAACAAAAAUGGAUGAAAUUUUUAAUAGAAAUGAUAAAUUUGUUCUUUUAUCUAAUGUAUAUGGGCUAAUUUACUUUUUUUUUUAAAUAAAAUGGGUUAAAUAUAAUUUGACUCUCAAUAGAACGAUCUCCAUGAUACUUUUACAGACUAAUACCUUGGUGGAUACACUCAAUAAUUAAACUACAAUCACAAUAUACCCAUAGACAUCCCAUUAAACAUUCAAGUUCAGUAUAGUAAAGAAACAAAUUUAUUAUCUAUGCAUGAAUGAAAAAUUAAUUGUUUUUGAAAAAGAAUUGGUGAUUAAAUUGAUCAGAUCGUCAAAUUUUUAUUUGAUUUGUUUGUGUUAUCUAAAGUAAAUAAAUUUUUAAAAAUUAAAAAAUAAUAAAAAUUCACGUAUAUUGCACGUUAAAGUAAAUUGAAAAUGAGAUUUGAGAGGGACAUAAGAGAAGAGAGAAGGAGAAUAAUUCCGAAGUAGUUGGUGUGGAAAUUAGUGGUACUAGAAAACGCGUUUCAAUUACUUUUCAUUUUGGAGUCGUUCUUACGUUCCAAGACUUUAGACCAUUAGCAAUUAAAGAGGGGCUUCAACAAAAUUAUGGCCCCAACUGUUUCACCUAACAUAAUAAAUUCGUGGACUAACCAAUUUCAGUGCAAUAAAAGUAGUGAAGAGGAUGGGAUAAGGUUAAGGUUUACAUUGUUGGUAAUGCAAAGUAGAAUCCCUCGUUACAGCCUUCAAAUUUUUUGGUUCACAAUAUUUUAGGAAGAACUAGAUUCAAAUAAUAUUUUUCCGUGAUUAUUUUUCAAUAAUAUCAUCUUUAAAGUUUAGAUCUAUACUUUUUAAAAAAGUAUAAUAUGUCUUACCAUUAUGUCUAACACUCAAAUAAUAAUGUUAACAAAAAGGUUGAGCACCAAAUGGUUGAUAAGUACUAACAAGCUCAUGGUCUAAAGUAGAGGUGUCCAUGGGCCGGGCGGCCCGACCUUGCCCGACGGCCCGCCCAAAAUAUGGGAGGGUUCGGGUAAAAAUAUAGGCCCCAAAUAUGGGUUUGGGCAAACGAGGCCCGUUUAGAAAAUGGGCCGGGCCACGGGCAUCACUUUUUGGCCUAGACCCGUCCCGGCCCGAAUAUAAUAAAUAUAUUUUUUAUUUUUUUAUUUUAAAAUAUUUUUAAAAUACUUUUUUUAUUUUUUAUUUUUAAAAUAAAUUUUUUGUGUUUAUUAAAAAAGGGCCAGGGCGGGCUCGGGCUUAGAAUUUUUUUUCCCAGCCCGGGCCUGGACAAAUUUUCAUGCCCAUAUUUUGGGUCGGGCCUGGCCCGGGCCUAGGAUGCAGCCCGAAUUUUUUUCUGGACUCGGCCUGAACCCGGCCCGGUCCAUGGACACCUCUAGUCUAAAGUCUAGAUCGAUAUCCAAAACAUAGUGAAACAGAUUAAUUCUUUCUUCGACGUUUGUUAUAUAGAACUCUACAACCUAGUGCUCCUAAUUAUCAAUUUUAUUCUUGUGACUCCAUAAUUAAAAUUUAGCUGAUCCCUUCAUUCAAGAGUGUAAUUAUUCGAAUAGGAUCAUGUCUCUUUUAUGGUGGAACACUAAUUCAUUUUAUUACUUGGACUUGUUCAUAAAAAUUCUCUUAAAAUAUCGAAUAAAUAUCAGUUAGGUGUUCUGAUGAUUUAAAUAUUUAGUUUUUAAGAGAAUAUAUUCUUACCUCGUUAUGCCUUCUCGAAGAUUUAUGUCAAAUUCAAACUGAUGUGAGUUGGUAGCUAUAUAUUUUUAUUUUUAAGGAUUUUAGUCCCUCUAUUUUUUGAGAUUUCUAAACUCAAAUCCAAUUGUUAACACUGUUAAUUUUUUUUGUUAAAUUCGAGUUAAUUACAAUAUCAUUUUUGUAAUUACAUGGUUAUCAAAUAGGUUUUUUUUUUAUUUCAAAAUGCCACCCUAACACAUUUAACAAAAAAAUUUAAAAUGUUAACCAUCAGAAAGUAAAGAGACUAAAUUUCUGGAAAUAAAAGUACGUGUUCUAAACUCCAAAAUUUUUAAAAGUACAAGAACUUAUGGCAUAUUUUAACCUUUUAACUUCUAGGUCGAGCUACUCAUCCAAUCCCCGCUUGAGAUUUGGGAAGAUUUAGACAAAAUUAUCAAGCUCAAAAAAUGGACUUGGACAAAAAGUUAGUCCGAUUUAAAAUACGAGUGGGGCUCGGGCAUAAAAAUUCAAGGCCCGAGCCAUUUACUAAUUUUCUAAUAUAUUAUAUUAUGUUAUUUUUAUAAAUUAUAUAAUUUAUUUCAAAAAAUAAAUCUAUAGUAAUACAUAUGAUAGUACUAUAAUGUAAACACUAAAAAAUGUUAAGAUGUCUAUAUAAAAUGUUAAGAUAUUUGGGAAAAAAUUCAAUUCAAUCAGGCUCAAAACAAUUUGUGGGUCAAUUAAUUUAACAUCUCUAUUCAAAUCAACAAUGGCAAAACCUAAUAGAGGCCCAGGGGGCCAUGGCACCCCCAAGGAUUAAAAUUUUUGCAAUUUAGCCCUUUGUAGAUAUACUAUGGCCCUCCCAAACAUAUAAGUAUCCCCCCCCCAAGGUUUAAGAUUUUUGCAAUUUAAUUUCCAAAUAUACUGCUUCUUUUGGAUUGAUUAUCAUGUUGGAAUAGUGCUUCUUUUGAGUCGAUUCUUUGUAUGUUUAAAUCGAUUGUCAAAUUAGAACACUACUUCUUUUGAAUCGAUUGUGUAUAUGAUUAAAUUGAUUGUUAUGUUGGAAUACUGCUUCUUUUUAAUUGAUUGUGUAUAUGAUUAAAUUGAUUGUUAUGUUGGAAUACUACUUCUCUUGAAUCGAUUGUUUAUAUGUUUAAAUCGAUUGUUACAUAACACAUCUAAUUAAUUUGUUCUUUGCUUCUUUGAUUGUUGCGUAGCAUUUCCUUUUAUUCUCUACUUCUUUGAUUGUUGGUUGUUUUAAAUAGCUUCUUUUCCUAAAAUGAUAAGGGACCAAAUGAAUAUUAGCAAAGAAUUUAUGUUGGAGUUUGAAUCGAUUCUUCGCUUAUUUCAAUUGAUUGUUUGUUGUUUUGAAUUAAUUCAUUAUUGUUUGAAUUGAUUCAAACUCCUACAUAAAUUCACUAUUGAUAUUCAUUUGGUCCCUUAUCAAUAUUAACUUACACAGAUGUGUGUAAGUUCUUUUUCCCUCAAACCUCCUGUUGAACGUGUGAAGCAAGCAAAGGUAUAUUUAUGGUUAUUCUUACUCUAGAAGAGAAAUGAUUCCUCAUACUUUAUACAGUGUAUUUACAUAUUUGCCCUCAACCGAAUAUUGAGGGAAUCUCCCUUCACUUUUGACACGUUCAAUAGAAAGUUUAAGGGAAAACAACUAAUUUACACCGGUGUAUAUAAGUAUUGAUAACUCUUUGAUACAAAAUGUUUAGAUUAAAUCAAAAAAUCAUUAUAUAGUAUUUUCCUAUACUAUGUGUUAUGUUUAUUAAUAAAACAUAUUUUUAAUUUAAAUGAUAUACUAAAAAUUGCUCAUCCACACAAUCAUUGAUAUGUUGAUUUAGGAUCCAAACUUGAAUCAUAUAUUCUUACGUAGUGAAACUAAAAAGGGCCUCGUCGCCAUUCUCCAUCUAUUCCUAUAUAUUCAUCUGUUCGGAAGAAACUGAACUUAACAAAACACCAUGAAAGCAUAAUCGAUAUUUUUCACUUUUAAGAAAUAUAAGUUGUUAAUAAUAUCAAACCCAAUAAUACAAUAUAUCAACAAUCAAACCAAAUCAACGACCAUACCACAAGCAAAAACAUAAAAUCAAUUCAUUUGGAAGGGUCUUCCACCUCAUUAUGUGCAUGAUUUUCAUACGAAUCCAGUUGCAAAGUAACGGUGUUUAACACUUUGAAUCGAUUCAAACUCCAACAUAAAUUUACUAUUGAUAUUCAUUUGGUCAUUUAUCAAUACUUGCACAACAUUUGUCCCUUAUCAAUACUUGCUCAAAAAUAACUUGUGAGUACUGCUUUUUUCGAAUAGAUUGUUUAUAUGUUUAAAUUAAUUGUCAUGUUGAAAAAUUGUUUCUUUUGAAUCGAUUAUUAUGGUGGAAUACUACUUUUUCUUCUUUUGAAUCGAUUGUUUAUAUGUUUAAAUCGGUUGUUGUGUUGGAAUACUGUUGCUUUUGAAUCCAUUGUUUAUAUGUUCAAAUUGAUUGUUAUGUUGGAAUACUACUUCUUUUGAAUCGAUUGUUUAUAUGUUUAGAUCAUUUGUUAAGUAGCACGUCUAAUUUUAGCUUGGCCCCCAAGAUUAACAUCCUGGCUCCGCCACUACGGAUCGAUAUAUUGGUCAAUUCUUGAUUCAACUAAUCGACUAAUCCUAUUUAAUCCGAUUUAAAUAACUACGUCAAAUUUAUACAUAUUUCUAAAAUAAUAUGAUAGUGUAAAAAUAUUUAAUCAAAUUGAGUUAUGAAAUUGUCGUCUAACAAUAGUUUUGGGUAUCUUAUAAACUCAAAAUUUUCAAAUUAUGUUGGUGUCCAUUUGUGCUUUAUUUUUGGUACAAGCUCUUUUUGGAGUUAUACCAUAUAUUAUAUAAUUUAAAAUAUUCUUAAAAAAUAGAUUGAAGUAAAUUAAGCCUAAAAUUUAAAUGUUUAAGUCAAAGCUUAAUUGAUAGUUUAAAUGAGAUUAUUCUUUUUUUUAAAUCUCAUUUUUUUAAUUUUAUCAAACCACCUCUAAAAAAUAAAUAAAAGAUGGUUGUUAGCCUUUUCCUAUAUAUAAGCAACAAUCUUUGGGCAGAGUAUAAAAGAUAGUUUAAGGUAUCUGAUUUUGUAGUAGUGACUAAUCUUUUCAUUGUUACUGCUUUUCGAAAGGUAAUAUGUAAAAAAUGGUAAUAUAUAAUUUACUUAUAAUUAUGGUACGUUUAGUUCGUUAGAGUGAAAUAAAAUUAUAAUAGAAUAAUAACUUUUAGGAAUGAAAUAGAAUUGUAAUUGAAUGGAAUAAAUAUGAUAAUUUGGUUGGGUAGAAUGAAUGAGCUGGUAAUAAUAUUUUUGUAUCUUGAUUUAAAAAAAUGAUAGUAAAAAUCGGCCAUUUUACCAAAAGAGCCCUUUUUUUAAAAAUUACCGAAAUGGGCCCAUUAUUUAAUUAUUACCGGAAUGGUCCAUUUUUCAGCAAAUUGCGUCCACGUCAGCGCGAUGUCAAGGGACGCGUGCUGACGUGGCCGCGAUUUCCUUCGCCACGUAGCGCAUUUCUGGGGACGCGUUUCGGCUUUUAGGGCUUAGGGUUCAGGCUUUUAGGGUUUUUAGGUCUUGGAAGAAAUAAUUUCGAGUUGACGUUUCUAAUCAAAUAGUAUAAAAUCGCUUCUAACAGGAUGCUAUUUGAGAAGAAUUUGUGAAAUCGCGCCCUCGUGGACGCGCUUUUGCUACAGUAGGUCAUGGAAGAAAUAAUUUUUUUGACGUUUCUAAGCAAAUAAUAUAAAAUCGCUUAUAGCAGGAUGCUAUUUGAGAAGAAUUUGUAAAAUCGCACCCUCGUGGACGCGCUUUUGCUACAGUUGGUCAUGGAAGAAAUAAUUUUUUUGAUGUUUCUGAGCAAAUAGUAUAAAAUCGCUUCUAGCAGGAUGCUAUUUGAGAAGGAUUUGUGAAAAUCGCACCCUCGUGGACGCGCUUUUUCUAUAGUAGUAUGUUUAGGCUGAGGCUAUAAAUUAGGCAGAAAAUGUUCUCAGAAUGCAUAAGUCACAGCAGAAAUAAUUUAGAGAGGUUAAAAAGGUUAGAGUUUCAAAUAUGAGUGAACGUAUUAGUGCUGUUAUUUACUACGAUGGUGAGGUUUGCCACACCGAGAAUGGUGUUAUUUUUUUGUCGGAGAAUACGGUGUGACUGGUUUUUAACCAGAACAUAGAUUUGACAAAACUUCGUAAAAGAAUUAGGCGUAAAAUUUUCAGAACGACGCCAAUGAAAGUUUUGUCUAUCACAUAUCGAUUUUGUUCUUCUGUUGAUCCGGUGACAUAUGACUCGUUCGACAUAAAAGGUGCUCAUAGCCUAGAGGCAAUGGUGCAGACUCAUCUUGCUAGUGGAGCACCUUAUAUUGAGUUAUAUGUACAAUUUACAUCGCCAACUAAUGUACUUUCGACCGGUGUUCAAGAUGUAUACACGACCCCUGGCUGACACUCGGUUAGCAGGUUACAAAAUACGGAACAGCCCAUGUUCGGUAGCGGUGUCGAAUGCACAUCCCCGCGAGACACUCUGUCGGUGGAUGAGACAUCUACGUCAGUGGCUCGAUGUUUGAUGCUGGAAAUACGUACUGGGAACGGCAUCAAGUUCUAGUGGGCGGCAAUCUACAUCCAAUUGGGGACGUUAUCAAAUGCCCAGAAGAAGGAAUGACGUACUCCCUACGACGUCAACCGGUGAGGGGACCUCGUACGCUGCAGAUGAUUGUGGGUUAGAAGAUGACUCCGAUGUGGAUCCACCUCGAGAGCCCGGGCCGGAUUGUAACACCCCGUACCCGAAACUGUUGCCGGAGUCAAGCACGAGGCAUUACUUAACUUAUCUUACUAAUUCGGAGCAUAAAAACUUGGUUUGAAAUUUUAUUUCACUAUUUACAGCAAUCUGUCCAAUCGCUCAGCAGUUACUAAAUUAAUUAUAACUUAAGCUACGGAACUCGAAAUUUAACUCCGUAAAUUUUUCCUGUAACUAGACUCAUAUAUCUACUUACCAUAAAAUUUUCAGAAUUUUUGGUUGGGCCAAUUAGUACAGUUUAUUAGUUAAAGUCUCCCCUGUUUCACCACCUGACUGUCCUGACCUCUUGUCACUAAAAAUAGGUUUUCUCACUGUAGGAUUUUCAUAUGAAGUUCUUACUUGUUUCUACAGAAAAUAGACUCAAUAAGGAAUCUAUACAUAUAAAUUAUAACUCAUAAAUUUAUUUGUACAAUUUUUAAUGAAUUUCUAAAGUCAGAACAGGGGACUUCACAAACGUUCUUGCCCUGUUUUACUAAAAUUCAAAUAUCUAAAAAUAUAUAACUCUUUUGCUUACUCUUUUUCUUUCAUGUGAACAUAGACUCAUUCAUCUUUAAUUUCAUAUCUUAUUCAGCUUCUAAUUCAAUUUACACUAUUUUUGGUGAUUUUUCAAAGUUACCUCAAUGCUGCUGUCCAAGAACUGCUCCAUAAAAUAAAAAAAAAAUUCAAUAUAACCCCUUUAUAAUUAUCUAACAUUCCCUGCAAAUUUAAAUCACAACCCAUUCCAGUAUUUCAACUACUUCAUUUAAGUACUAAUGAAGUUCAACCAAUCAACCAUUUCAAAUUAAAAACAUGUAUAUAUUUCGAUAUCUAACACAAUCAUAACAUUCAAAUUUAUUUUGCAUACUUAGUCAUUCAUACUAAUACUUUUUAUUUCAAUUCCCUAUACAUGCCAUAUAAAUCCAAAAAGUUGUUUAACAAAAUCUACCAGAGUAAAUCUGGAUAGUGUGAUCGUUGAUGUAGAUCCGAUCCUUCGAACGUAUAUAUAUAUAUCAAUCUACAAGAAACAUUAAACACACACAAGUAAGCUUAUGGAAGCUUAGUAAGUUCAUAGGCUCAUAAUAAAAUCUUACCACAAUUUCACUAACAAUAUUAAUAGACAAAUAAAAAUUCAACACUUCCUGCCAACCACAAUUUCAUACCAUGACUAUCCAAUCGAGCUCGAUGUCAGAUGUCAACUUAUUUUUCGACAUUUAGCUUCAAUUGCACUUACAAAUAAACACUUGUCAAAUUAAGGAUCGUCUUACGGAUUUGAGUACAUCGUUUUCCCGGAGCCACGGUUUGCUUGGAUGUUUCACAUUGCUAUAACUCAGUAUGGUUUUCUUCAUUGAAACACCAUACCUACUUUUCGCAACUCAGUAUGGUUUUCUUCACUGAAACACCAUACCUACUUUUCACAACUCAGUAUGGUUUUCUUCACUGAAACACCAUACCUACUUUUCACAUUUUGCCAUGGAGCCACAAUGAACUUAUCCGUCAAUUCAUCACUGGUUGUCGAACGUAUGUACUCAAUCCUGUGGAUCCCUUAAUUUGAACUAACAAUCUCAUUUUAUUCUCAUUUUUACCAUACUCAUAAUUCAACAACAAUAUACAAAUUGAUACAUUAUAUCAUUUCCACAUUAACAAUUAAUCAUAAAAAUUCAGCCAUAUGAACUUACCUGGGUCAAUUUGCUGAAUUCGUAAAAGUUCAGGGACUAAUCAGCUACUUUUUCUUUUCCUCGACUUGUUUCAGGUUCUCGAUCUAAAAUGAAAAUUUAUUCAUUCAUCAGCAUUUAAUUCUAUUCUAAUUCAUUUCGCAGUUUCUGCCCUUAAAUUUUCGAAAUUACACUUUUACCCCAAAUUUUACAGUUUUUACACUUUGAUCCUUACUCAAUUAACCCCUCAAUUGAUCUAGUUUUUCUCAAUUAACACCUUGUCCAACUAUUUUAGACUACUAAAUAUCCUUUCAUAUUCAAAACCGCAACACCAAACCCUAAUUCCAGACUUUCUCACAAUUAAGUCCCUAUAAUCAAUUUCUACCAAAAUUACUUAAUAAAAUCAUCAUAUAAUAAAAUUAAAGCUUUAAUUCUAUGAUAAUUCAUCAUAAAAUUCCAGAACUCACUCAUGGUAACUUUCAAAAUCAUUCAUAGAAUCAAAACUAAUGAAUUCAAUAGUUGGACCUAGUUGUAAAAGUCACAAAACAUGAAAAAUUACAAAGAAAAAGCAAGAAUUGAGCUUACAUGGUGUAAAAAUAUGAAAACUCAGCUUUCUUCAGACCUUCUAUGGCGUUUUUGCUGAUAAAAUAUGAAGAGAUCUCUAGAUUUUUCACUUUUAUCUUUAUUUUAUAUAUUUAAUUUGUGAAAUUUCCAAUUUUGCCCUUAUUUCUCCUUACUUUCUGCUGAUUUUUCUUGCCCAACCGUCCAGCCAUAUAAUUUGGGCCUAAUUACCUUUUAAAUCCCUCCUUAUUAGUCACUUAAGCUAUUUGACCACAAUUUAACAAAUUUUGCACUAUUUCCAAUUUAGUCCUUUUUAAUUAAUUGACUAUCCAAACGUUAAAAUUUUCUAACGAAACUUUUAUACUAACUCAAUGACACACCAUAAAUAUUCAUAAAAAUAUUUAUGGUUCGGCUUAUGAACUCGAGGUCUCGAUACAUCGUUUUAGACCCAAUUUACCUAUUAAAUUCUUUUUAAAACACAAAAUUCACUAAUUCAAAAAUUCUUAUAAAUUCACACUUGACCCAUAAUUAUUAAUUUAUUAAAUUUUAAGACUCACUUGUCAGAUUUAGAGAUCUCGAAUCACUAUUUCUGACACCACUGAAAAUUAGGCUGUUACAACUCUCCUCCCCUUAGAAAAUUUCGUCCUCGAAAUUUGUUACCUGAAAAUAGAUUCGGAUACUGUGAUUUCAUUGAUUCUUCUGUUUUCCAGGUUGCCUCCUCCAUACCAUGUCGAUGCCAUAGCACCUUUACCAACGGUACCCGUUUGUUCCGCAAUUCUUUAACUUCUCGAGCCAAAAUUUUAACCGGUUCCUCCGAAUAGGUCAUGUCUGUUUCUAUUUCUAUUUCAGUAUGAGGAAUCACAUGCGAAGGGUCUGAUCGAUACCUUCUCAACAUAGAUACAUGAAACACAUUAUGGAUCUUCUCAAGUUCAGGAGGCAAAGCCAAUCUAUAAGCUACCGGACCAAUUCUUUCUAUGAUUUCAUACGGCCCAAUAAAUCGUGGACUAAGUUUUCCCUUUCUGCCAAAUCGUAAAACUUUCUUCCAUGGAGAAACUUUCAAGAACACACGAUCACCCACAUUGAACUCUAUAUCUCUUCUCUUCAAAUCUGUGUACGACUUCUGACGAUCGGAAGCAGCUUUCAAACUAUCUCGAAUAAUCUUGACUUUCUCUUCAGUUUCCCGAAUCAAAUCCAGUCCCACUAACUUCGAUUCACUUAAUUCAGACCAAUACAAUGGGGUUUUACAUUUCCUUCCAUACAGAGCUUCAAACGGUGCCAUUUUGAUACUAGUUUGGUAGCUAUUAUUAUAAGCAAAUUCAGCUAAAGGUAAAUACCUUUCCCAGCUACCAUCGAACUCAAGUAUACAACACCUUAACAUAUCUUCUAAAAUCUGAAUCACUCGCUCUGACUGCCCAUCUGUCUGGGGAUGAAAAGCUGUGCUAAAAUUUAAUUUGGUGCCCAAAGCUUCCUGUAAUUUACUCCAAAAUCUCGAGGUAAAUCUCGGAUCUCGAUCUGAAAUAAUAGAUAUCGGCACCCCAUGUAACCUCACUAUCUCUGACACAUAUAACUCCGCUAACUUUUCAAGUGGAUAAUUUGUUCUGACUGAAAUAAAAUGUGCUGACUUAGUUAACCGAUCAACAAUCACCCAUAUCGAAUCUUUCUUCUUCGGAGUUACUGGUAAUCCGGAUACAAAAUCCAUCGUGACAUGUUCCCAUUUCCACUCUGGAAUCAUCACGGGUUGUAACAAACCUGUGGGCACUUGGUGUUCUGCUUUUACCUGCUGACAAAUCAAACACUUUGCAACGAAUUCACAUAUUUCUCGUUUCAUACCAGGCCACCAAUAAGUUCCUCUCAAAUCACAAUACAUUUUCGUACUGCCCGGGUGAAUAGAAUACAUGCUAUUAUGGGCUUCAGAAAGAAUAUCAUUCUUCAAGUCUGAAUUAUUCGGAACACAAAUUCUAUUGUGUAAAUACAACAUACCUCCAUCAUCAAUACUAAAAUCUGAACUCAAUUUGUCCCGAACCAUCUGUUUCUUCAGUACUAAUUUUGGAUCAUCUUUUUGCAACUCUUGAAUCCGCUGAAAGAAUAUAGGUUUCACUUUCAACUCUGCUAACACAGAACCAUCUUCGUUAAUAGAUAAAUGAGUAUUCAUAGCUCGAAGUGCAAACAAAGACGACUUUCGACUGAGUGCAUCUGCCACUACAUUUGAUUUCCCUGGGUGAUAGUCAAUGACAAGAUCAUAAUCUUUUAACAACUCCAACCAUCGUCUCUAUAUCAGAUUUAACUCUUUUUGAGUCAUUAAAUACUUCAAGCUUUUAUGAUCAGUAUACACAUAACAUUUCUCACCAUAUAAGUAGUGUCUCCAUAUCUUCAAAGCAAACACGAUUGCUGCCAGUUCCAAAUCAUGUGUAGGAUAAUUUUUCUCGUGCGAUUUCAAUUGUCGAGAAGCAUAUGCCACCACCUUGCCUGACUGCAUAAGUACACAGCCCAAACCAUUCAGAGAUGCAUCACUAUAUAAUAUAAACGGUACACUCGACUCCGGUUGAGUCAACACUGGAGCCUCUGUCAACAUCUUUUUCAACUGAUCGAAACUCUGCUGACAUUCAUCUGACCAUGUAAAUUCAACAUUCUUUUGUAGUAAUCGAGUCAACGGUAAGGCAAUCAUUGAAAAAUAUUUGACAAAUCGGCGAUAAUAACCAGCCAAUCCCAGAAAACUUCGCACUUCAGUAACAUUCUUCGGAACUUUCCAAUUUAUCACUGCUGCUACCUUACUUGGAUCCACUCUGAUUCCAUCAGCUGAUACAAUAUGACCCAAAAAUGAAACUUCAUGAAGCCAAAAUUCACAUUUGCUAAAUUUCGCAUACAACUGUUUCUCCCGCAAAGUCUGUAAUACAAUCCUUAGAUGUUGUGCAUGUUCGGACUCUGUCUUUGAAUAAAUCAAUAUAUCAUCAAUGAACACAACCACGAAUCUAUCCAAAUAUGACUGAAAAAUUCGAUUCAUCAAAUCCAUAAAAGCAGCCGGAGCAUUGGUUAAACCAAAUGGCAUUACCAAAAAUUCAUAGUGACCAUAUCGGGUUCGGAAGGCAGUUUUCGGCACAUCACACUCUUUAACUUUUAACUGAUAAUACCCGGAUCGAAGAUCUAUUUUGGAAAAUACUGCAGCACCUUUCAACUGAUCAAACAGAUCAUCAAUACGAGGCAAAGGAUAUUUAUUCUUUACUGUUACCUUAUUCAACUGCCUGUAGUCUAUACACAGUCUUAAAGAACCGUCUUUCUUUUUCACAAACAAGACAGGUGCACCCCAGGGCGACAUACUCGGUCUGAUAAACCCUUUGUCUAAUAACUCCCGCAACUGAGUUUUCAACUCUUUUAAUUCUGCUGGUGCCAUUCUAUACGGCGUUAUGGAUAUCGGGGCUGUUUCUAGGAUCACGUCAAUCACAAACUCAACUUCACGAUCUGGCGGUAAACCUGGCAAUUCCUCAGGAAACACAUCAGCAAAUUCACUGACAACUGAUAACUGUUCUAACUUUGAUCCAGAAUCCCGGGUAUCAAGAAUAUAAGCUAAAUACGCUUCAUUACCUUUCCGUAACAUUUUCUGAGCUGAAAAGGCGGAAAUAAUUCUAACAUCAUCUUUUAUAUUUCCAAACUCGGUUGAAAUUACAUCUCCUGCCUGGUUUUUCAAAUCAAUCCGUUUCUCGCAACAGUUCACUACAGCAUCAUGUUUUGUUAACCAAUCCAUUCCCAAAAUAACAUCAAAUUCCCGAAAAGGUAACAACAUCAAAUCAGCAGGGAACUCACAGCCUUGUAUUUUCAGUGGACAAUUUCGACAUAUUAAAUUAACUAGUACACUUUGUCCUAAUGGAUUUGUAACUUGCACAUCAUAAUCAGUAGAUUCAACUGAUAAUUUCUUUUUUGAUGCUAAUGCAGUGCAAACAUAAGAAUGUGUAGAUCCAGGAUCAAUUAAUGCAUACACGGAAUCAUCAAAAAGAUAGAAAAUACCAGCUAUCGCAUUUGGAGCUGCAGCCUCUUCCCUUGCUCGAAUGGCAUAUGUAUGUACAGGUGCUCGAGGUUCUGAUCGAACAGUAGAAUCUCUUAUUCUCGAGUGACUAGCUCCCGCUGCACUACUUUGACCCGAACGUUUGCCUUUCUGAGAGGUAACUGUUUGUUUUUCUUUUUGUUCUUCUUCUUCCUUCGACAGUUUGGGGCAGUUUCGAAUAAAAUGAUCGGUACCCCCACACCUAUAACAAGCUCCUAUUCUGCCCCAACAUUCACCAAUAUGAAACCUCCCACAAUUUUUACAUCUAGGCUUGGGAAAAUUUUGUACACUGCUAACACUAGCUGCAGGUUUAAUAGUCACUCCAACAUUCCCCUGAAUUUCUUACUUUUAUUCAAUCUUUCUGAAGUUGAAGUAGGUCGGCUUGAAUCAUCUCUGAACUUUUUAGCUGGAACUGUCGAUAUUGAUCUAGAAUAACCCCUCUUGAAAGAUUCUUUGUUCCGACUCUCUCUUUGCUUCUUUCUGUUGUAUACUUCUUCCAUCUUCUAGGCUCGAUCUGACAGAGUAACAAAUUCUCGAAUUUCUGUGCCUCCAAUCAUCAUUCUAAUUUCAUCAUUUAACCCUUCCUCAAAUCUAAUACACAUUUCUUCUUCAGUCGGCACAAUAUCUCGAGCAUAUUUACUGAAGUAUACAAAUUCUCUUUCAUAUUCAGCCACCGUUCGAUUUCCCUGUCGCAAGUCAAGAAAUUCCCUCUUCCUCUUGUCCUGAUAUCUCUUACCGACAUAUUUCUUCUUAAACUCACUCUGGAAAAAUUCCCAAGUAAGCCUCUCUUCAGAUACUAUUGCUUCCACAGUUUCCAACCAAUUAUAUGCUUCUUCUUUUAACAAAGACACAGCACAUCUCAGAUAAACAUCUGGAGAACAAGCCAUUUGUUUAAAAAUUCUUACCAGACUUUGUAGCCAAUACUCAGCUUUUACUGGGUCAUCAUCCGAUCUACCUCGAAACUCUUCAGCUCCAAACUUCCUAAGCUUUUCAAUCGGAGAAUGUUUACUAGAUUCAGUUGUCGAAGGAGGUGGAGGAGCAACCGGGGGUGCCACAGGUGGUGCAGUAGGGGGAGAAGGUUGUUGAGUUUGAGUUCUUCCUUGCAUUAGAUCAGUAAACCACUGAUUCAUCACUCCAUAUAUCAUAUUUUUAAGAUCUUGUUCUGGAGCCAGAGAAAUUGGAACAUUACUGCUUGUUCCUUGUUCCUUGUUCAGAGGUCUGUACUCUACUAUUAGCUUCUUCCUGUUCAUCAUGUUCAGGUCUAUCUGACAUCUUUAAAAUCUAUAAAAGAAAACAAGAAUCAGAUCAGAUCAUACACAUCACACUAUCAUAGAUUUAUAUGGCAUGUAUUUCUCAACACUUUACUCAUUACAUUCAUUCCGAGAAUCGACUAAACCGAAGCUCUGAUACCAAUAAAAUGUAACACCCCGUACCCGAAACUGUUGCUGAAGUCAAGCACGAGGCAUUACUUAACUUAUCUUACUAAUUCGGAGCAUAAAAACUUGGUUUGAAAAUUUAUUUCACUAUUUACAGCAAUCUAUCCAAUCGCGCAGCAGUUACUAAAUUAAUUAUAACUUGAGCUACGGAACUAAAAAUUUAACUCCAUAAAUUUUUCCGGAAACUAGACUCAUAUAUCUACUUACCAUAAAAUUUUCAGAAUUUUUGAUCAGGCCAAUUAGUACAGUUUAUUAUUUAAAUUCUCCCCUGUUUCACCACCUGACUGUCCUGACCUCUUGUCACUAAAAAUAAGUUUUCUCACUGUAGGAUUUUCAUAUGAAGUUCUUACUUGUUUCUACAGAAAAUAGACUCAAUAAGGAAUCUAUACAUAUAAAUUAUAACUCAUAAAUUUAUUUGUACAAUUUUUAAUGAAUUUCUAAAGUCAGAACAGGGGACUUCACAAACGUUCUUGCCCUGUUUUACUAAAAUUCAAAUAUCUAAAAAUAUAUAACUCUUUUGCUUACUCUUUUUCUUUCAUGUGAACAUAGACUCAUUCAUCUUUAAUUUCAUAUCUUAUUCAGCUUCUAAUUCAAUUUACACUAUUUUUGGUGAUUUUUCAAAGUUACCUCAAUGCUGCUGUCCAAGAACUGCUCCAUAAAAUAAAAAAAAUUCAAUAUAACCCCUUUAUAAUUAUCUAACCUUCCCUGCAAAUUUAAAUCACAACCCAUUCCAGUAUUUCAACUACUUCAUUUAAAUACUAAUGAAGUUCAACCAAUCAACCAUUUCAAAUUAAAAACAUGUAUAUAUUUCGAUAUCUAACACAACCAUAACAUUCAAAUUUAUUAUGCAUACUUAGUCAUUCAUACUAAUACUUUUUAUUUCAAUUCCCUAUACAUGCCAUAUAAAUCCAAAAAGUUGUUUAACAAAAUCUACCGGAGUAAAUCUGGAUAGUGUGAUCGUUGAUGUAGAUCCGAUCCUCCGAACGUAUAUAUAUAUCAAUCUACAAGAAACAUUAAACACACACAAGUAAGCUUAUGGAAGCUUAGUAAGUUCAUAGGCUCAUAAUAAAAUCUUACCACAAUUUCACUAACAAUAUUAAUAGACAAAUAAAAAUUCAACACUUCCUGCCAACCACAAUUUCAUACCAUGACUCUAUCCAAUCGAGCUCGAUAUCAGAUGUCAACUUAUUUUUCGACAUUUAGCUUCAAUUGCACUUACAAAUAAACACUUGUCAAAUUAAGGAUCGUCUUACGGAUUUGAGUACAUCAUUUUCCCGGAGCCACGGUUUGCUUGGAUGUUUCACAUUGCUAUAACUCAGUAUGGUUUUCUUCAUUGAAACACCAUACCUACUUUUCGCAACUCAGUAUGGUUUUCUUCACUGAAACACCAUACCUACUUUUCGCAACUCAGUAUGGUUUUCUUCACUGAAACACCAUACCUACUUUUCACAACUCAGUAUGGUUUUCUUCACUGAAACACCAUACCUACUUUUCACAUUUUGCCAUGGAGCCACAAUGAACUUAUCUGUCAAUUCAUCACUGGUUGUCGAACGUAUGUACUCAAUCCUGUGGAUCCCUUAAUUUGAACUAACAAUCUCAUUUUAUUCUCAUUUUUACCAUACUCAUAAUUCAACAACAAUAUACAAAUUGAUACAUUAUAUCAUUUCCACAUUAACAAUUAAUCAUAAAAAUUCAGCCAUAUAAACUUACCUGGGUCAAUUUGCUGAAUUCGUAAAAGUUCAGGGACUAAUCAGCUACUUUUUCUUUUCCUCGACUUGUUUCAGGUUCUCGAUCUAAAAUGCAAAUUUAUUCAUUCAUCAGCAUUUAAUUCUAUUCUAAUUCAUUUCGCAGUUUCUGCCCUUAAAUUUUCGAAAUUACACUUUUACUCCAAAUUUUACAGUUUUUACACUCUGAUCCUUACUCAAUUAACCCCUCAAUUGAUCUAGUUUUUCUCAAUUAACACCUUGUCCAACUAUUUUAGACUACUAAAUAUCCUUUCAUAUUCAAAACCGCAACACCAAACCCUAAUUCCAGACUUUCUCACAAUUAAGUCCCUAAAAUCAAUUUCUACCAAAAUUACUUAAUAAAAUCAUCAUAUAAUAAAAUUAAAGCUUUAAUUCUAUGAUAAUUCAUCAUAAAAUUCCAGAACUCACUCAUGGUAACUUUCAAAAUCAUUCAUAGAAUCAAAACUAAUGAAUUUAAUAGUUGGACCUAGUUGUAAAAGUCACAAAACAUGAAAAAUUACAAAGAAAAAGCAAGAAUUGAGCUUACAUGGUGUACAAAUAUGAAAACCCAGCUUUCUUCAGACCUUCUAUGGCAUUUUUGCUGAUAAAAUAUGAAGAGAUCUCUAGAUUUUUCACUUUUAUCUUUAUUUUAUAUAUUUAAUUUGUGAAAUUUCCAAUUUUGCCCUUAUUUCUCCUUACUUUCUGCUGAUUUUUCUUGCCCAACCGUCCAGCCAUAUAAUUUGGGCCUAAUUACCUUUUAAAUCCCUCCUUAAUAGUCACUUAAGCUAUUUGACCACAAUUUAACAAAUUUUGCACUAUUUCCAAUUUAGUCCUUUUUAAUUAAUUGACUAUCCAAACGUUAAAAUUUUCUAACGAAACUUUUAUACUAACUCAAUGACACACCAUAAAUAUUCAUAAAAAUAUUUAUGGUUCGGCUUAUGAACUCGAGGUCUCGAUACAUCGUUUUAGACCCAAUUUACCUAUUAAAUUCUUUUUAAAACACAAAAUUCACUAAUUCAAAAAUUCUUCUAAAUUCACACUUGACCCAUAAUUAUUAAUUUAUUAAAUUUUAAGACUCACUUGUCAGAUUUAGUGAUCUCGAAUCACUAUUUCUGACACCACUGAAAAUUAGGCUGCUACACGGAUGGUGCAGAAGUUGGCUAAUUUUCUGAACCGGAGCCUAUUCCAACAGAACCUGAAGAUGCUGAAAGGAGUUCAGAUGAAGAGGAAAACCCAUGAUUCAGAGCAUACUCACCUCCAGCCCACAUGCAUAAUGUCGAUCUGUCUGCUGAUGAUGCGUUAGAGUUUCCAGAUCUACCACACUGGUUGCGUGAUUGUACAAUUUCGGGGGCAGAUUUCAGUGAAUUUGAAGUUGGUAAUCAGUUUACCGACAAGGAUAGUUUUAUUGGUGUUUUGAAACAACAUAGCAUCAAAAACGUCAUUAACUACAACGUCGUUAAAUCCAAAUCUGAUAAGUUUGAGGCGAAGUGUGCGGUCCAAGACGGCACAUGUUCAUGGAAAAUCUACGCCUCGUUAAGGAAAAGGACAGGGUUGUGGGAGGUUAAAAAGUACAAAGGUCCACAUACAUGUGCUGCAGGUAUAGUAUUGACGGUUUCUGAAUAAUACUUUUAUUAUGCAAUGUUGCAUUAUUUAAUUUACUCGAUUUAUAGGUGUUUUACAAAAUCAUCCCAAGAUGGAUUCAGCUAUGUUAGCUAGCUUGAUACUGCCUACGGUAAAAGCAGAUCCCACGACUUCAGUGCCGGUGUUAAUUGCCAAUAUCCGUAGCCAAAUGGGGUACACGCCCUCUUACUGCAAGGCUUGGAUAGCUAAGCAAAAGGCGUUGGAGAAGAUGCAUAGUGGGUGGGACGCCUCAUAUAAUGAAAUAUGGCAAUGGUGUCAGGUGCUAGAGAGAUACGUCCCAGGUGCCAUCACAGACCUUGAAACGGAACAUGCGUACUACAACGGUCGAUUUCUACGUGGAUGCUAAGUGUUCAAAUGCCUGUUUUGGACCUUUAAGCAAUGCCGAGACGUAUUUCCAUACUGCAAGCCGUUGGUACAAAUUGACGGUACCUUCAUGUUCGGUAGGUAUACUCAUCGGCUAUUGCUUGGAGUGGCACAGGAUAGUGAUGGGAGAAUUCUUCCAAUUACAUUUGCAAUAACACCGGGGGAGUCGUCUGAUGACUGGGAUUUCUUUCUCUCUAGGUUAAGGAGGCAUGUGUGCCUCCAACCUGAUAUCUGUGUUAUUUCAGAUUGGGGCACCGGUAUACUAGCUGCAUUUGAUCGACAGUGAAGCUUAUGGCAGCGCACACACCAUAUAUAUUGCCUAAGACACAUUGCUUCGAACUACUACAGGCAAUAUCCAUCUAAGAGCGAACGACGACAAGUGACCAACAUUGGUAUUUAGUCUAUAUCUGUGUUAUUUUGUUUGUCAAUUUGAAUUAGUUUUAUUGGUAGAAGUGGUAUAAAUUAUCGCUAUGAUCUUAUAUUGGCAGGGUAUGAAAUAAAUAAAGAUCGUUUUCACGAGAUGUUGGCAAUUUUACGUUCAAUUAACGGAGAAGGGGCGGACUACCUUUGUAACAUACGUUUCAAAAAGUGGGCACAAGCAUACGACGGCGGCCUACGAUAUGGCCGUAUGACGUCAAACCUGACUGAAUGCAUAAAUUUUGUUCUUAAAGGAACGCGCCAUCUACCGAUAACAUCGGUUGUGUGAGAGACAUAUUUUUGAUUGGCGGCGCUAUUUCCAAAGCGAGCAGCAAGUUAUGCAGGUCAGAUACAGGGAGGCCAUGUAUGGUGCAGUAAGGUAGUUCAAGAAAUUAACAAGGUCAAGGCGAGGGCAAACACCAUGCACAUAGUGUGUCACGAACGAGACAAUUUAUGGUUUCGCGUGACAGAGUUUGACAGACCGCACCAAGGUGUUGUUGGCGGGCAAUAUCGUGUACACUUGCGAAAUAGGACUUGUGACUGUGGGAUGUUUGAUGCACUUCGUUAUCCAUGCGUGCAUGUUAUUGCAGCUUGUCUGAAUCUCCGUCUGGAUUCGAUGAGUUAUGUGGACGAAGUGUACAAAUUAGAAAACAUGUACCACGUCUGGAGACACGUUUUCCCACCUGUCCCAGAUGAACGUAAGUGGCUGCCCGUAUCUCUUGCUCCUUUUAAGCUGUUUCCUGAUAGAGAAUUACGUCGCAAACCAAAAGGUCGACCUUGCUUGACUAGAAUACGUAACAAUAUGCAUAUCCGAGAAACAGCUAGUCAAACAAAGUUGUGCGGAUGGUGUAGGAAUCCAGGCCAUACAAGUCGAUCAUGCCCUAAUCGUAAUAGUUGAAUGUAAUUGUAAAAAAAUUAAGUUUGUCAAAUUAUUAAUUGAUAAAUUGUAUUAAUGGUUAGUAAAAAUUUCAAAUUAUAUAAAAUUAUUAAUUGUUAGUGUUGACACCAUUUUUUGGAUAAAAUGGGGUCGACUUGGGUUUUAAAAAUGAAAACGUAAAUUGGAGUCGCCACCGUUUGAUGAGGUGUGAUCGGAUCACCUCGAAAAGUGGUUGUUUUUAAUAAACGGUUUGAUUUUAUUAAAACAACAAGUUUGGUCCACGAAAUUCAGAAAAACAGGUUCGAGAGUCGGUUACACACGAGGAAGGAAUAGCACCCUCGAUACGCCUAAAAUUGGUACCUAGUUGAUUACUUAAUGUCUUAAUGUCAAAAAUUGAAACUUUGAAGAAUUUUAAAAAUACGAUCCUUAAUUUUCUUUGAAAGAAAACUUAUAAAAGUUGAGCUACUCGUUAAGACUUUUUCAUUUCAGAAAAAGAAAAUGUCACACCCAAUGCGUUAGAGUACGAUAUUUUACCUUUUCAGAAAUGAGAUAGUCUAAAACUCGCAUAGUAAAGUUUAAAAGGGUGUUCGAUUGUUUAAAUCAUAUGAAAAAAAAAUUGCAACCCAAUACGUUAGGGUACAAUUUCUUCAAAUGUUAAACAUUGAAUAUUGCAUUUAUUUAAAAAAAAUCUUCGUUUCGAGAAAUCAACGUGUCAUGUCCAAUGCAUUAGGACACGACGUAUUGAAUUUUCGAUAAUGAGUUUUUAUAUAUGUCUUUUUAUAAAAAAGAGUAACUUCGAUUAUUUAAAUUCAACAAAGAAAAUCGAAACCCAAUACGUUAGGGCUCGAUUUUCUCGAAGAUCUCAAAUACCGAGUGUUACUUUUAUUUUGAAAUUUUUCAUUUUUGAUAAAUCCGGGUAAAAAUGGAUGCAAAAUAAUGAUAACGAUGAUAAUGUAAGUAAAAUAAUGCGAGCAAAAUAAAAGAUAAAUAAAUAAUAAGACUAAUGUAAAAAUAAUAAUCAUGCAAGCACAAUAACAAAUAAUAAAUAAAAAUUCUAAAGCAUAACAAAUAAUAAAAAUGAACAUGUAAAUAAAUAAAGAAAAUAAAAGAUAUUUAUGAAUUUUAAAAUAUAAAAAUAUAAGUAUUUACAUAUAUGUGCAUAUGUACAUAAAGAUAAGUUAUAUAAAAAUAUGUAAGUGUAUAAUGCAUAUAUGUAUAUAUAUAUGAAAUAAAAAUAAAGCUAAAAUAAAAUAAAACUAAUUAAUAUAUUAACACAAUAGUCAAAAAUAAAUAAAAGGAAAAUAAAACUAAUAAUAAUUAAUAAUAAUAAUGAUAAUAAUAAUAAUGAAAACAAUAAUAAAAUAAUUAACUAAAUAAUAAAAUUGCUAAAAAAAGGCUAAAUCAAAAUAGAAACGAAAAUACUGGGCGAAUUUGAAAUAAAAAACCGAAAAGGAUUAAAUUGCUACACGCGCUGAAAGAGGAGGGACCAAAACGGUAAAUCAACCAAAGCCUCAAAACGUAGCGCUGCAACGGACUAAAAUGAAACAAAAAUAAAACUAUGUGGCUAAAUUAAAAUAAAAGAAAAUAACGAAAAAGGGCCAAAUUGCAACGCGCUGCAAAGUCAGAGGGACUGCGCGCAAAUAUCCCCUUUUGAAAAAACACGCUGAUCCUCCCCCCAGGGUCUGGUCAUCGCGCGGGUCGUGCCAAAACGACACCAUUUUGGUGCCUGGAAGGCCUGCCCAAAACGGAGUCGUUUCAGGGGCCUAUAUAAGUAAAAAUAAACAAAAAAAAAAUCAUUUUAAAACCAUUUCAGAAAAAAAAAACUUUAGCCCCCUUUUUAUUUUUCUCUAGCCCCUCUCCCUCCGGCCACGUUCCGGCCACUGACCACCGUGCCGGACUCCGGUCGCCGACGUCGGCACCGCCGUGCGCAGUGACUGGCGGGGGUAAAAAAUUCCUUUUUUAGAUCUCGGCCCACUAAACUCAAAUCCGGCCUCAAAACACCCAAAAAAACAAAAGGCACAUAACAACUAUGGUGAGUUCCUCUUUUCCUUUUUUGUGUUUAUUCAUAUGUAAAAAAAACGAAAGAAAGAAUAAAAAUGAAAUAAAAAUAAAAAAACAAAAACAGUAAUGAACCUGUUCAAAGUUCUUUCUUUUAUUUUUUAUUCUAGUAAAAAAAAGAGAGCUUUACAAUCAGUUUUUGCUUGGCUUUUAUAGCCAUUUUACAAGUUUUUUUUUAUUUGCUUGCUUGUUGCUGUUUCUUUGUGUGCUUUCUUCUCAUUGUAGGUGGAGCAGGUGGCGUUGCAGGUGGUGGUGGCAGAGUUGGUGAUGGCAGAGGGUAAGUGGUGCGGCGCCUAGGGUUAGGGGGAUUAGGGUUUUCUAAAAUUUUUUAGUUUUUGGGCUGGGUUUUUAAUUUUUUUGGGGCUGUUUUGAUUUGUUUUAUUUUCUCUGGUGGGCCGGGAAAAUUUGGGCUUCUAUAGUUAGUACCUGUCAAAACAUUUUUCCAAAUCUAACAUUAUGUGAAAGUAAAAUUAUUAAUUGAUAAAUUGUAUUAAUGGUUAGAAAAAUUAUCAAAUUAUAUAAAAUUAUUAAUUGUUAGUACUAGGAAAAAACAUUUUUCCAAAUCUAACAUUAUGUGAAAGUAAAAUUAUUAACUUAGUUUAGGGUUUUUAAUUAACUUAGUUUAGGGUUUUUAAGUUAAGGGUUAGGGUUUUUAAGUUAAGGGUUUAGGGUUUUUAAUUUAAUUAGGUUAGGGUUUUUAAUUUAAUUGUUAGGGUUUUUAAUUUAAUUGUUAGGGUUUUUAAUUUAAUUAGGUUAGGGGUUUUAAUUUAAUUAGGUUAGGGUUUUUAAGUUAAGGGUUAGGGUUUUUAAUUUAAUUAGGUUAGGGUUUUUAAUUUCAUUAGGUUAGGGUUUUUAAGUUAAGGGUUAGGGUUUUUAAUUUAAUUGUUAAGGUUUUUAAUUUAAUUAGGUUAGGGUUUUUAAGUUAAGGGUUAGGGUUUUAAAUUUAAUUAGGUUAGGGUUUUUAAUUUAAUUGUUAGGGUUUUUAAGCUAAGGGUUAGGAUUUUUAAUUUAAUUAGGUUAGAGUUUUUAAUUUAAUUAUGUUAGGGUUUUUAAUUUAAUUGUUAGGGUUUUUAAUUUAAUUAGGUUAGGGUUCUUAAUUUAAUUAGGUUAGGGUUUUUACGUUAAGGGUUAGGGUUUUUAAGCUAAGGGUUAGAGUUUUUAAGUAACGGGUUAGGAUUUUUAAUUUAAUUAAGUUAGGGUUCUUAAUUUAAUUAGGUUAGGGUUUUUAAGUUAAGGGUUAGGGUUUUGAAUUUAAUUAGGUUAGGGUUUUUAAUUUAAUUGUUAGUGUUUUUAAUUUAAUUAGGUUAGGGUUUUUAAUUUAAUUAGGUUAGGGUUUUUAAGUUAAGGGUAUUAAUGGUUAGUAGAAUUCUCAAAUAAUAUCAAAAUAUUCAAAAAUUUCUAUUUUAUUACAUCAAAUAAACUUCUAUUUUAUUACAUCAAAUAAUAUCAAAAUAUUCAAAAUAUUUGUACAAAUAAAUUUAAAUACGGCAAUCAAUGUCUAUGCCCGGGGGAUUCAGUGCCACAUGGUGGCCGUCGACAGUUAUGCGCUAGAUUCCUUCUUUCUCUAGCUUCCGGCGACGGUUGUUGCUCCUCCAGCAGGGAUUCUGGUCCUUCCGGUACGACAUCUAUUGUCGGACUUGGGAUGAUGAUCCACCUUCAAAGAAUAGUGUAUGUGGAGGUGUUUGCAUCACGAACGGCGACGGUGUUUGAAACUCAUACGUUGGUGGGGAUUGGUAAAAAGGAGAGCUCCCCGACGGCCCCUCUUGCGAUCCCUAGUGUGCCACUGGCCUAUACAUCGGCGGUCCACUCAGCAUAACAAGAAAUGGAGCUGAACCGGGAAUUUGGCUCCAACCUGCCAUAGGACUCGGAAAAGGAUACAUAUAAGGGUAAGGGUACAUAUAAGGGCUAGGAAACGCACCUGACAUCAUUUGAAAAGACGAUUGCGUGGGUAUCAUCGGCUGAACUGCUGCAUCGGGUGACUGUGUCGGUGCUCUCGCUGGGCCUAGUGAUUGCAUGGCCACUGAUGAUGAGCCGGGUGAAUGUCUAGGCCUCGUUGAGGGGCUACCUUCGUCGUCUUGUCGUCUUGUCAUCUUGGAUUUAGAGGCUCGCGCCUUUCCCUUUCGACACGUAUUUGUCGCUGCCUCUCCUCUGGCGUCAGUAAAUACAGCUUGCCAUGGAUCCUAAACCAUGGCAUGUAUUCUGGAACGCACGCUAACUCCGGAACGAUGAUUGGUUCCCGAGUAGGUAUAUAUUCAUACCGAUCUUCCCACAUUUCCAUGUACUCGGACCGAUAACUCAGCCAAUCCGUAUUCAAUUGCCAAAGGUCGACCUUGUGUUGAUUGUCAAACACCUCAGGAUCCACGGGAACGGUUGUCUACAUCUAAACAGUCGUAGCACUCUGUCUGACUGGUGCGGCUCCAUGGUUGCGUAGUUGAUAAACACGACUUUCACCUGCCAAGCUUGUGGAUUUUGUAAGAACUCUUCCGGGAACUGCCCGAAUUGCCAGAUCCUCAUAUGGUGUCCAUUGAAACUAUAUGAACAUGAUAGAAAUAUUAGUUAUAUACAUAAUACUAAAUACCAAUCGACUAGCGAAUGAUGGAAAUAUCAAUUUUAUUUAAUACUUACAUGUGCUUCCGACUGUUGGUCUAAUAGAAGCCGUAUAUCUUCAAGAGAGGUAGGUAAUCGAGCAUGACUUGCCGGAUGGUUCCACCUAAUUAAAUAAAAUUUUAGCAUACUUUUAUUUUUAAAAAUCUACAUAAUAAUUUUAAAAUCUAAUAUAAAAUUUACCUCGUUAUGAGUGGGAAUGUAUAUGGGUGGUCCACUCGAGGACGUAGAUAUGGAAAGAGAAAUCGUGCCCACGACUGUAGUAGUGAUAGGCAACCUCCAAUUUUUGCUCUCCUCGGUCGCGUCGCCCUGCACAUCUCCCGAUAUAACGUUGCCAAGACGGCAGACCCCCAACUCAAUUCACUGGCUACUCUAAAAUCGACGAGUUUCAGCAGUCAUCUUAGAUGUACGCAGCUCUGUGACGUGUCGGGCAUCAGAUAACCACCAAUUAUUUGAAGAAUGUAGGCCCGAGCAUAUUGGAUUCUUUCAAUUUCGGUUGAAUCUUCAUCCGGAUCAGGGAAUGUGUCACGUAACUAGCCCAUCUCAAUCUUACCUCCCUCCAUUUUCUCCGGAAUAGCGCCCAAAAGCUCGUAGCACACCGCCCCCCAAUCGCUAGAUUGGGCAGACCCGAUGACUGGGUACCCGUCCACCGGUAAUCCUAAUUGCAAACUGACAUCUUCUAGAGUGAUAGUGCACUCUCCACUUGGAAGAUGGAAUGUGUGCGUCUCGGGUCUCCACCUCUCGAUCAACGCACUGAUUAGUUUCGGGUACAACUUGCAUCCGCAGGUAGUUCUCUACUAACGGUGAUGGAGGAGCAUGCAUAUUCUAGAUCUUGCAUUCCAAUACCCGAUCUACAGACUUUUAUAACAAAUAAUAAAUUAAUAAUUAUCUAAAAAUGCAUAAAUAAAAAAUUCUUAAAUUAUAUUUAAAAAUUAAAUUUCACACUUACCAUUUUUAUUUGUUCCACCGAUAUGUGAUGCUUAUCAAGACAAGUCAAUGAUCCAGCCAUUGAUGAAAUCGUACAAAUUUUUACGAAUUAUAAAAAAUAUAAAAUUAUUUUAAAAUUAUUUUUAAAAAGGAAAUUGAGAGCAAAUUGAAAUUAAAUAUGGAUUUGAGAGAAUUUUGGAAGGAAAUUAAGAGAAAAUUGAAAUUAAAUAUGGAUUUGAGAGAAUUUUGGAAGGAAAUUGAGAGGAAAUACGAGAGAGCAUUAGUUUGUGAAAAAAUAAAAAGGGGUGGGGGUAUUUAUAGCUUUUUUUACCGUUGGGGGGGCAACGGUCAAAUUUUUGACCGUUGGAGCAUUGUUCAUGCGCGGAGGAAAUCGCGGCCACGUCAGCGCGAUUUGCUGACGUGGCAUCAAAUCGUGUUCUAGAGGGCACGAUUUGUUGCCAUGUCAGCAAAUCGCGCUGACGUGGCCGCAAUUUCCUGGCGCGUCCCCUGACAUCGCGCUGACGUGGACGCGAUUUGCCAAAAAAUGGACCAUUCUGGUAAAUAAUUAAAUAAUGGGCCCAUUUCGGUAAUUUUUGAAAAAAAAGGGCUUAUAUUGGUAAUUUGCCCGUAAAAAUCAUCUGAAAAUAAGACGAAAUUCAAAGUACAACACCAAGUCUUCAUCAAGCAGUGUACAUGUCCAAAUUACUAUAUUGAUUAAUAAUAACAUUGAAUAAAUAACCUUCAAGAUUCAAUCCUUUAAGUUUUCUUUCUCCUUUAUUUACUUCCAUUUUAUAUAUGAUAUUUAGACUUAUUAAUGGGUUGAGUUAUUGAUCUAAACUUAAAAGAUUGUUUAAAUUUUGAAGGAGUUUUGGUAAAAAUAUUAAACCCUAAAAAUAGGACUAGACAAAAAAAAUUAAGUUUAUUUAAAAUAUGAGUUAAACUCAUAUAUGAACAUUCAAGGAUUGAACUAGGCUCGGCCCAUUUUUAAAAUUUGUAAUUUUUAUAUUAUAUUAUUUUUAUAUAUUAUGUAAUAUAUAAUACAAAAAUUAAAUUUAUAGUAAUAUAUAAUAUCGUAAAAAUUUAAAAAAAAAACAUUAAGAUGAAUAUAUAUAUAAAAGUUUAAUAAAUAAAAUAUAUAAAUUAUUAAAUAGUAUUAAAAAUAAUAUAAAUAAUUUUAAAAAAAUAAUUAUAUGGGUGGAUUUAAAAUGAAUUUGGGUUAACUAUUUAUAAGUAUGGAUGGGCUUAAACAAAUUUUAGGUACAUAUUUCAGACUGGGUUUGGAUUCUUGACAACCAGAAAAUGUGUUAACAACAUACUUAAAUCUAACCGAAACUCAACCCGACGCAUAGGGGAUUAUGUUUAAACUUCAAAUAAUAUUUGUGAAAUAUGAUUAAUUUUUAGAUAUUGCCUUAUGAGUAAAACUUUUUUAUUAGUUUGAAGAGUUGUGAGUUUAAUACUCUCUCAAAAUCGAUUCUUUAAUCAAUUUCCAAUUCAACCAAUUUAUCAGUCGAUCUAAUUCGGUUCAAAUAACCCUAAUUAUAUGAAUUUCAAGCUGUUGAAGUUACAACUGAUAUUAAAAUAAAUCGGAACCUUCUCUGUCUCACCAAACUUACUCUAAACCAAGAGCAUAAAAAAUAAAAAAAUAAAAAUCCUCCUCUAAACCAUGCAGUGUUAGCAAUCGUAAGAUCUGUUAGUGAAACAUUGAGUAGAAACUAUAGAUGACAACAAGUGGGAACCCUCACCUUGUCAGAGAUCAUGGGAAGUAUUGAACUCUUAUAAUUAGAAUAAUCAAGUUCCACUACAAAUAACGAUCAAAACCCACAAAAAUAAAAACGCAUACCAUGAACAUGCAGCAGUUCAUAAUAUUCUUUGAAGUUUUAGACUCUUGACAAUAACCAGAAAAUUCAAACACAAACACAGUCUGUAUCUUCAGUUCAUAAACAUCCCAAUAAACCAUUGGGAUUCAAACACAAAACCAUCACACAAACACAUAUUGUCAGUAUCUUCAGUUCAUAAACAUCCCAAUAAACCAUUGACAUUCAAACACAACCAUCACACAAAUGCAUACUGGCAGUAUCUUCAGUUCAUAAACAUCCCAAUAAACCAUUGAGAUUGUAUUUCAAAGAAGCAAAUUACUCAACCCGCGGCUUUUUCGGCAAACUGGCUAGAUUCAGUUGGUUUUCUUUUAACCCAGCUUCGUCCUGAUCCAGCUUCAGUUUCUUUUCUUUUAAGUCAGCUUCGUCCUGAUCCAGCUUCAGUUUCUUCUCUUUUAAGUCAGCUCCAUCCUUCUCCAGCUUCAGUCUGUCUUUUCUAAUAUUAGCUUUCUUCUUCCACUACACCAAAACAGGGUUUUAGCGGCACUUUCUUAGGUCUAUAGUGGCGUUUUUUAGCGUCGCAAAUACUUUUAGCGGCGCUUCGCAAAGCGCCGCAAAGGUUGCUGUUAAUGACAGCGUCGGUAACUUUCGCGGCGCUUUCUAUGAUAAACGCCGCUAAAGAUCAGGAACUUUAGCGGUGUUUUUUUUACAACGCCGCUAUAGACCAUGUUCUUUAGCGGCGCUUAAAUAAAAACACCACUAUAGACCGUGAUCUUUAGCGGCGCUUAAAAAAAACGCCACUAUAGAUCGUGGUCUUUAGCGACGCUUACCAAAAAAUGCCACUAUAGACCAUGGUCUUUAGCGGUGCUUAACCAACAAACGCCACUACAGACCAUGGUCUUUAGCGGCGCUUAACCAACAAACGCCACUACAGACCAUGGUCUUUAGCGGCGCUUAACCAACAAACGCCACUAUAGACCAUGGUCUUUAGUGGCGCUUAGGCGAAAAACGCCACUAUAGACCAUGGUCUUUCGCGGCGCUUAGGCGAAAAACGCCAAUAUAAACCAUGGUUUUUCGCGGCGCUUAGGAAAAAAACGCCACUAUAGACUGUGGUCUUUAGCGGCACUGACCAAAAACGCCACUAUAGACCAUGGUCUUUAGCGGCGCUUAGGCGAAAAACGUCACUAUAGACCAUGGUCUUUCGCGGCGCUUAGGCGAAAAACGCCACUAUAGACCAUUGUCUUUCGCGGCGCUUAGGAAAAAAAUGCCACUAUAGACCAUGGUCUUUAGUGGCGCUUAUGCAAAAAACGCCGCUAAUUUUGGCAGAUUUGGAAAGUUUUUUUUAUUUGCAGCCCUCCCGUAAAAACAAAUCAGAAGAAACCAAAUCUAAACCAACCAAAAGUAAUAAAUCUAUAUAAUAUUUAAAAUAAAUGUCAAUAAAUAAAAUAAAAUUCGUAUUAUUCUUACAAAAAUUGUAAAAGUUUAAAUGAUAAUACCAAAGUCAAAAUUGAAGUAUAUUUACACGAUAGUCUAAGACGACGGCGGUUGCGAUUGCUGAAACAACUUCAUCAUAUUCUGAAGCUGCUGCUGGAUUUUAUCGAACUUUUUAAGCUGUUCUGCUUCCCUCGCCGCAGCCUCUACUUUACUCGCUUUAGCCUCUGCUUCUCUCGCUGCCGCAUCUGCUUUAAGCUGCUACUGGAGUUCUUCAUGCUUUCGUUAAACCUCAGCUUCUCUACUGCUGCCUCUGCUUCUCUCGCUGCCGCAUCUGCUUUAAGUUGUAGCUGGAGUUCUUCAUAUCUUUUUUGAACCUCAGCUUCUCUCGAUGUUGCCUCCGCUUUAAGUUGUGUAAUUUGCUCAGUUGUUGUCGCUUGCAUCUGAGAUAUCUGGUCUCUUAACCUCUAAACUUCAGCUUGGGCCUGACUCACCGAACGCAUGUAUUGUUGCGAGCUGGAUCCAAAAUAUUGGGAUGGGUUAACAAAAGAUCCUUGAAAUCGAACCCGACCAUACCUUUCAGGACCCAAAACUUCAGUGAUAAUCCGGUUAUCAAUGUCGUCAAUAUGAACAGAACUAUCACUGGAAGUAAUCGCUUCGUACUCCACUUUUUUAUCCUUCAGUUUUUCCUAAAAAAUAAAUCACAUAGUUAAGAACGCAAUAUAUAUUAAAAAAACAAAUGCAACAUAACUUAACAAAUUUGCAUUACAAGAAAUGAAAUAAACCAUUAGAAAAUAAACAGUAUAAAUAAUUAAAAUAAGUCAAACUGUAUUAAGCAAACGUACCAUAAUUUCUGCAGCUUCAGGAGUCAUAGGGUUUCCAUCUUUCUUCCUAUGUGUAAUGUUAAAAAGUUGAAGGCGUCCAACUUUUUGACCUGACAACACUUCCUACAAUACUAUAGUAAAAAUAUUAUUUGAUAGAAAGAAAUAAAUAUCUGCCAGUAUUACAAAAUUCAAAAUACAUCGGCCUGAGCUACACACGCAAAACUUCUCGACCCAGCUGUGUGCGUGAAUUUUUGUUUCUGCCUACUACUUGUUCCAACUCGUUCACGAUUCUACAUUAUGAAAUUAUUAGUACGUUAAUUAUUAAAUACUAUAAACCAAAAUAAUUACAAGAUUUUUGUAGUAAUUCAUACCUCUCCUUUCUUCGAAGUCCAAAAUCUAACGACCUCUUCCCACUGGUACCUUAGCAUUCCCGGCGGGACAUUUUGUAAUUUCUCGUCGAGUGUUGUUUUUGUCUUAAAAUAGUCUUUCUUUAAAGUGCUCUUAUGGUCUCUCCAUCUUUUUCCCAAUGCCUUCUUUACAUAAGCAUCGGAGACCUCUAGAGCAAAUCUCGCCUAAAAAAAACACAACUUAAGAAAGUAAAUGUAAACGAAACUUAAACCCAAGUAUUAUAAAUGACAUACACGUUUUGUUACCUUAAUGUUAUCGAGAGCUUGGUUCUUGUUACUCUCGGGCACUUUAUGCCAUGACUCGAAGUUAAUUGGCAACAUAUUUGCAUUCUGUGCUAGAAUGCCCAUGUAUCCUGCUAAAAGGCGAGCUUCUGAUCCAACAGGCUGACCAAAGCUAUUACUGGAUACUUGGACACGCUCGACUGGAUCUAGAUCGUAUAAAUCCCUCAGUAGCGUACAUCCGUGAACUCCUCGCGUCCCAGCAGUUUCAGCUAGAAAAUAAAAGUAUUGUAAUAUAAGAAAUUUAAAAAAUAAAAUAAAUAAUAUGUCAACACACAUGUAAGUUAAAUGUUAAAUUACUUUUAGCUUCUAUAGGUUCAAGUGUAACCGGAACGUUCGAAGAUCCAAUAGCAGUUUUUGUUUAGUGCUGUUUGUUUCGGUCGAGUUUGGAGUACCUUGAACAAUAUGGUGCGCUCGUACGGGUCUUCUAGGCAUUUUAUCUGCAAUAUAAAUAAAUUAGUGGAAAGCUUAAUAUACAAUUACAACAAUAAUAAUAUGUUUAAAAUAGUUGAAAUAUAUAAUAAGACCAAUAUUAUGAUAUGAUAUUACAUAUAAUUAAAUAAUCGUAAAAGCUUACUAUAUUAUAAUCCAUAAAUAUCUUCAUCCGUAUCCUGGCGGACCCAUUGACUGUGUGUACUAGUACUAGGGAUGUUUUCGUUUAAGUUUUGUUCUGGAAAUGGAAAAGUUUGUGUUCUGUCGUCAACGCCAUCUCUGCUUCCACUACCCAUGUCAAACAAGUCCCUAGGGAUGUUACGGAGCACAACGUACCAACCCUCAUCAAUUGGAUCUUUUGAGUAAAAAACUUGUUUGACUUGAGAAGGAAAUACGUACAGCUCAUCAAUCAAUUGUUGUCCGGUAUGAAUCAAUCGAGUGAAGUUCACCAUUGUGAAACCAAAUUGAUCUUGCUUAUUCCACAACCAGUAUUAACAUCGGCCCAAUCACCUCGAAAUAAGACAACUUUCCAUUUUUCGUAGUAAUCCAACUCAAUUAUAUCAGUAAGAAGUCUGAAAUAUUCUACAUCUCCCUCGACAGGAUUGUUGUCCCUAGCACUAGCAUAACUAGUAACUGAGGAAUUAACAACUAUUCCACAAUUUUGCGUUCUCCUCAAUCUCUCGCGAUAUUUUGUAUGAAAUCUAAAUCCGUUUAUGAGGAACGCACUAUAUCUUUUAACCACCCGAUUUGGACCUUGAGAAAGCCAUUUGACUUCGUCGGUCACGUUCUUCCCACUCCAAACCUAUUGUAUGAUAAGUCAACUGAGUAAUUUCAAAUGUUAUGAGACAAGAUUAUAAUUAUAUGUCGAUGAAAGCUACAAUUGCAUACCGUUUCAGUUAACCAUUCAUGGAAAGAUUCUAUGAACAACUUAUUGAUGUCUCGAAGUUGUGUUCUUCGGGAGCGCGAACGAGAUCUCAGUAUUUGUUUGUACUCACUAUGUAAAAAAUAUGUUCAGCUUGUUAGAAGAUAAACAACUGAGGACUAAUUGAUGAAUAUCAAUCAAAUGGUUAAAAGAUAAAUAAUCUUACUUGCGUAAAGGUUCCAUUGAUUCGUGGUGAAACAGAACAUACCGAUGUGCUUGUACCCACGAAAAACCAUCUAAUUCUGCAAUUUCCACUUUGCCGAUUAGUUCUCCAAAACUUUGGAACAAAUAAGUAUCGGCCAAGUUAUGAUCUGUGAGUCCAGCAUUUCUAUUUGGUCUGCUCAACCUUGUUUCAACAUCAUCCAAAUAUCGCGAACAGAAGGUCAUACAUUCCUCUGCUAAGUAGGCUUCAGCAAUCGAUCCUUUUGGAUAACGCUUGUUGCGGCAGUAAGACUUUAAUUUGGAUAGGAACCUAAACACGACAAAUAAUGUUAUGAAAAUUUGUACUUAAAGGCAUAUAGGGUUUACGGAAGGAGAGUUUUUAAAAUAAAUUAACACCUUUCUAUGGGAUACAUCCAUCGGUAAAAAACGGGUCCGUCAAGAAUUGCUUCUCCCGGAAGGUGGUUUAUCAAGUGAACCAUAAUAGUGAAGAAGGAUGGUGGAAAGAUUUUCUCCAUGUUGCAUAAAGUCAAUGCGACUCUAUCCUGUACCUUCUGAAGUUCUUGAACAUCCAAAAUGGCUUUCAUUAUAUUGGAUAGUUCAAUUAUACAGGACGUCACCUUCUUCGACAUACAACAUCGUAGAGCAACUGGCAGUAAACCUUGCAUCAAGAUGUGAUAGUCAUGUGAUUUUAGCGAAUACAUUCUUCGAUCUUUAACACUAACACAUCGAGAUAUAUUUGAUGCAUACGCAUCUGGAACCUUUAUAUCCUUCAACACCGUACAGAACACUUCUUUCUCUGUCCUCGACAUCGAAAAAAUUGAAGGCGGCAACCGAUAUUCCCAUUAGGAAGUGGACUCGGAUGAAGAUCAGGUCGAAUUCCCAUUUGGACUAAAUCAAGUCGACUCUGAAGAUUGUCUUUUGAUUUUCUAUCUACAUUCAAAAUUGUACCCACAAUGUUCUCGCAGACAUUUUUCUCAAUGUGCAUAACAUCAAGAUUGUGUCGUAAAAGCUGAUGCUCCCAAUAAGACAACUCAAAAAAAAAUACUUCUUUUUUUCCACAAGUCCGCCUCAUUGGGAUCAUCCUCUUCAUCGGAGUCAUCAUCAGCUUCAUCAUUUGAUCUUCUAUUUAUUUGCAUGUUUGUCGGGUGGUUUAUCUUUCCAUAACCGAAAUUUAUAUCUUUCAACAUGAACAAGAUAUCAGAUCCACUUGUCUGCGAAGGAGCUUCUCUGAACUCUUCGGUACCGUCAAAUACUGAACUCUGAAAUCUAAAUCUAUGAUUUUUCGGUAACCACCGACGAUGCCCCAUGUAAGAGAACUUUUUCCCAUUGUAUAACCAUUGCGAACAUGUUUGUACAGCACAACAAGGACACGCAUAACGACCCUUUGUACUCCAACCGGAUAAAUUGGCAUAAGCGGGGAAGUCAUUAAUGGUCCACAUCAAAGCUGCACGUAAAUUAAAGUUAUCCUUUCUCAGCACAUCGUAUGUCUCGACACCAGCCCGUAAUUGUUUUAACUCUUCAAUAAGUGGUUGUAAAUAAACGUCGAUAUCAUUCCCGGGCCCUUUCUCUCCAGGGAUAAUCAUAGAUAAGAUAAGGGAAGAUUGCUUCAUGCAAAUCCACGGAGGCAGGUUGUAAGGAACAAGCACUACUGGCCAAGUAUUGUACGCAGUGCUCAUGAUCUUGUAAGGAUUAAAUCCAUCGGAUGCUAGGCCAAGCCUCACACUCCUAGGAUCGCUUGCAAAGGUUGGAAAUUUAUUGUCGAAUGAUUUCCAAGCUAAAGAAUCUGCUGGAUGCCUUAAUAAUCCAUCAUCGAUUCAUCCAUCAUGGUGCCACGUCAUUGACUCCGCUGUCUUCGACGACAUGAAAAGCCUUUGAAGCCUUGGUAUCAGCGGAAAAUACCGCAAAAUCUUGACCGGCUUCUUUCUUGGUUAUGCAUCAUUUUCAUCGUUGUUUCCGUCUUCUGUGUUUCUAUUUAUCCAACGGGAUUCGCCGCAUACAUGACAGCAUUGUUGGUUUCUCCGAUCGCCCCAAUACAACAUGCAGUCGUUCGGGCAACUAUGGAUUUUGUUGUACCCAAGACCUAAGUCUUUUAUCAUUUUCUUCAUAUCUUUGCAUGACUGAGGGAUUUUUGCAAAUAGAAACAUUUCUCUCAAAAACUCUAGCAGCAUUGUUAAAGAGCACAACGUACCAACCCUCCCAAACAUUUUAACUGGAAAAGACGAAUGCAGAAAGCCAUUUUGGAGAAUUUUGAUCCCUCAUAUAGUUCUUCGUUCAUCUCAUUAAGAAGCGCAUAGAACUUCACCACUUCUCCAUUCGGCUCUUCAUGAGGUACACUUGUUCCCCGUUCAGUAAAAGCAUUUGCACCAGCAUUACAAUUAUCAGAUGCCACAAAGUCGGCCGGGAACGACUGAAAACCAUGACUGUGCAUAUUAAAUGCAUCCCGCAACAUACCUUCCAUGUCAUCCCCUCUAUCAGACUGAUGGUAAGCAGUACCAGGAUAAGACACAUCUAUCCUUGAAGAGGAAGUACUAGGCGGGCAUUCUCCAUGGAAAAACCAUUUUUUAUAACCUCGAACAAACCCAUCAACAACUAGAUGCUCGUAUACAACUUCACGAUAAUGCCAGUUUAUGUUGACACACUUGUUACAAGGGCAAAGAAUCAUGUUCUCUUGGCUUGCAUAUUGAAAUGCAAAAUUCAGAAAAUUUUGUACUCCAUUUCUAUAUUCGUUGCCUACCCUUGACAAAUACAUCCAAGACCGGUCCAUUGCUUAAUUAUUGCAAGUCUGAUUUUCAGCAGAAAUUACAAGGGUAAGUUGUUAACUUCAUUGGUAUUGUUUCACUAUCUAAGUUAUCAUAUGAUAUAUAUUAAUAAGUUAUGUCGUAUUAUAUAAGUUAUGUAUUAAAAAUGUAAAAGUAUUAAUAAGUUAUGUAAGUUAUGUAUCAUUUAUCCAUAAAUAUAUUAAUAAGUUAUGUCGUAUUAAUGUAAGUUAUGUAAUUUAUGUAUAAUAUUAAUGUAAUUUAUGUAUAAUAUUAAUGUAAGUUAUGUAAGUUGUAAGUUAUGUAUAAUAUAAAUUAAUUAAGUUAUGUAAUCUAUGUAUAAUAUUAAUGUAAGUUAUGUAAUUUAUGUGUAAUAUUAAUGUAAGUUAUGUAAGUUGUAAGUUAUGUAUAAUAUUAAUUAAUUAAGUUAGGUAAGUUAUGUAUAAUAUUAAUGUAAGUUAUGUAAUUUAUGUGUAAUAUCAAUGUAAGUUAUGUAAGUUGUAAGUUAUGUAUAAUAUUAAUUAAUUAAGUUAGGUAAGUUAUGUAUAAUAUUAAUUAAUUAAGUUAUGUAAUUUAUGUAUAAUGUUAAUGUAAGUUAUGUAAUUUAUGUAUAAUAUUAAUGUAAGUUAUGUAAGUUGUAAGUUAUGUAUAAUAUUAAUUAAUUAAGUUAUGUAAUUUAUGUAUAAUAUUAAUGUGGCUUCUACGUCUCUCAAGUCUUGAUUGAAAACGUGGCUUCUACGUCUCUCAAGUCAAAUUUAACAACAUCAUAAAUGAUAGGCAGUAACAUUAAUUUCAGUUAAUUUCAGUUAGGUCAUUUGGCAUGAAAAUUUUAAAUCUAAAGUUUGAUAUAUUUAAUUCAAUUGGUGCUCUAAGAAUUUAAAAACUGUAAUUUCAAACAUUAUCUACUAUUUCAAUUUUGUGUCCAUUUUAUUAGUACCAUAUGAUGGUUUCAUAUUAAAUUUUUAUUUCAUGGUAUAAGCUACAGAAAAGCUUAUAUUAAACGCAAAUUGAAGGUGUAUAUAAUGCUCAAAUUCUUCACUAAUAGUGCCAUCAAAGGAUAAUGACAAGACAUUUUUCUCAAUUUCCAUAAUUUAGUCAAAUGAUCCUCUUUCGAUUCCAAUUCCAACCAUUGUUGCUUAUAACCAUUGAGAUUGUAAACUUACCAACGCUAGACCACCUCCACAUGCAUUAAUCAAAUCCUAAAUUAUAUUUUAGAAGGGGCACCUCCAUAUGCAUUAAUCAAGCCCUAAAUUAUCUUUUGGAAGGGGAAUCGAAGCAAUCUACAAAAGGAUCGACUAUUCUAAAAGAUAAGCAAAGGAAUCCCAUUUCCAAUUGUCAUGAUUAUCUACCAUAUCGGAGACCCGAACAUUCUCCAAACCGCUAGCUUCCAUAGUGCUUUUGCUAAUCAAAGGUCUUACAUUAAGCAGCUACCUUUCUAUUAACAUCGUCACACUUCUUCCAUUGUCUACUGACCAACUUAUAUUAGUUCGAAGCAUCUCUUGUACUUUCAUGAAUGAACCUCAAACUUAUAUUACAUUUUACCAUGUACUAAAAUGAGAAUGAGAUAUUAAACCAUAAUAUGUUGAUCGGAAAGGCAAAUGGGAGCACAUGGGAUAAGAAUUAGAGGACCCACAUGCAAAUAUGUCCUUAAAUUUGAAAGCUUUUCAUGGGAACUUGAAGAAUAUGCAAAUUAUUAACAAAUUUUUCACUACAAGCCUGCAAAUCUAUUUCAGUGAAGGAGAGAAGGAGGAAAACCUGUCGACUGUUGUACCCUAGCGACAGCAGAGAACUGCGGUGGUACAGCACUGUGACGGUCGACGGUUGACGAGCGAGAACAGAAGCGUCGACGAGCAAUGUAGCAGAGAUGGUUGGGGCGCAGCAGCCUAGGGUUCUAGAAUUGGGGGAUUUUGGGGGGAAAAAUCGGGAGCAAUUUUGGGGAGAAAUUUGGGGGGAAUUUCGGCUAAGUGUUGGGAGUAAUUGGGAUGUAAGAGACAAUCUUUUGCGGCGUUUUUAACCUAUCGCCACUAAUGCUGUUAAUGUGGCAGAUAAAAUGACACCGUUUAUUUAAAACCGGAAAGAAAUUUUGCGGCGUUUUCCACAUAGCACCGCUAAAUCCAACCUUUAGUGGCGUUUCGACACUUGCGCCGCAAAAGCCAUUCAAUUCUCAAACAAAACUACAUCGUUUUCACCAAAUCUUUAAUAACUUGUUGCGGCAGUUUUGCUAAGAACGCCGCGAAAACUCACAUCUUUUAUUUAUUUAUUUAUUUUUUACCUGUAUCUUUUAUUAACUGUAUCUUUUAAUUACUAAGUAUAAUUAAAGUUUAGCAAUCCUUUUGACAAUGAUAAUACAAUAAUAAUAAAAAUUUAUUAAUUAUUAAAACAAUUGUACACUACUAAAAGUUUACUUUUAUAUUCGUAAUUAACUUUUAAUAUUUUAGACUAAAUUGUUAUAAUUUUUUCUUUUGCUUUCUAGUUCUUAUUUAUUAUUAUACAAAUACAUAACGAAUUAAUCAAGUAUUAUAUUUCAUUACCAAGGAAUAUAUCAAUGAAUUCAAAAUUCCUACAUUUUUCCUAGAUAACACAUUUUAAUAAUAUAAAAGUAUUAAUUAAUUAAUUGUAUCAUUUAACAAGUCUCAAUUAAACCUUAAACCCUAAUUUAACCAUUCAAUAUACAUGCAUAUAUAAAGUUAUCUAUACAGUAUUACGACGCCGUUUUUUUCCUAUCUAACCCAGUUGCGGAGUUUAUACAUAAGCGCCACAAAAUAUACAGUCAAAUGCGGUCGUUUCGACAUCAGUUAAAUUAAACUCCUGGCGUUUUCAACCCUAAACGCUACAACUAAAAUACGUAAAACGGCACCGUUUAUAUAUAAAACUUAAACUAUUUGCGGCGUUUUAGGGAAAGCGCCACUAAAGACAAUGCCAAACGACGCAGUUUCUUAACUCAUAAUACACUAUUGCGGCAUUUACAAAAAGCGCCACUAAAUGGAAACAACAAAACGACGAUGUUUUGCUAACAUUUCAAUAAAAUUAACUGAUAUUUCAAUGAUUUCAUUUAAAUUAGAGAGAAAAUUUUAACUAAUAAUUACACAUUUUAAAAAGAAAAUACAUCAGUAUAUUUUUAUAUUGAAUAAAUAUAACUAUUUAUGUAUGCAAUAUGAAUAAAAUUUUAUUUUAAUUAUAUCAAUAAUUAUGUUACUAUUUUACAAGAUUAUCUGGAUCACACACGAUAAAAGUUAAUGUAUAAAAUAGUUGAGCAAUAAAACAUUGUUCGUGUCUGCUUUUGGGAUUUAACCCAUUUUGAUAUAUUUUUUAAAAUAUUAAUUUAUAUUUACAUUAUUUUCAUUUAUAUUAAUCUAGAAUAUCUAUAAUUAAACACAAAAGCCCCAAUCUAAAACCCUAAAAUCAUCAACCAUGUUAUUUAUCCGUAACCAUCAAACCCCAAACUAUAAACCACUAUACUGUAAGCCUUAAUUAAUUAAUCGUAAACCCUAAACCCCAAACUAUAUAAACCCUUACCCUAAACCACAAACCCCAAAUCAUAAAACUUAAACCCUAAACCCAUCAAUUAACCAUAAACCACCAAACCACAAAAUCCAAUCCACAAUAUAUCGUACGCAUGAACCGUAAAUCUUAAACCCUAAAUUAACCAUAAAAAUUAAACCCGUAAACCACAAACAACAACCACCAAAUCAUAAACUCUAAACCCUAAACUUGGCCACCCCUAAAGUCUAAACCGUAAGUCAUAAACCAUAAUCCUAAACCAUAUCUUUGAAAAUUCGGGUGCCCAAUGUGUUAGUUUAGUACAGAACAUAUAUUUUAUAUUAUUUAAUCAUUUAAUAUAGGUGUGCUACAACGUGGCAUGGAUCCCAGUAAAAUUAAAAUGUUAUUCUUUAACUAGUUUUCAAAUAGUAGUAGAUAUAUAUCUUUAAACCUUAAACAUCAAACCUUCAAUCCCUACCCCAAAAUAGAAAAUAGUAUAUAUACCAAAAACCCUAAAACUCUGUAGCAAAAAUAAUGGAAAAAUAAAUCCUAAAAUAAUGGAAAAAUAAAUUAAGUUUCUUGUGGCGUUUUUAAUCUAAAGCGCCACUAAAAAUUACUCUAUAACGGAGUUUCCAAAUAAGCGCCGCUAAUUAAUCUAUACGUGAAGCCGUAACGAUGCGUUUUGGACAAAUUUUUUGCGGUGCUUAAGCAAAAGCGCCACUAAAAGCUGAUAUCUAGCGGCGUUUAUGGGUAAGCGCCACUAAAGGCACUAUAGCUCAAGACGAAACGUUGUGUUUCGCUUUCAAACUUUCCGGCGUUUUUCAGUUACACGCCGCUAAUAUCAGGCUAUAGCGGCGUUUAUCACAAGCGCCACAAUUGGCUCUAUGCCUCAUUGCCAGACGCUGCGUUUUGGUUCAAAUAUUUUGUGGCGCUUGUUCUAUAGCGCCGCUAAUGAUGUGCUUCAGCGGCGUUUAUACAGAAGCGCCACUAAUUCUACCAUAACUCAAUAUUGUACGUUGCGUUUUGUUUAACAUUUUUUGCGGCACAUACAAAAAAACGCCGCUAAUUGCACUCUAUAAUGGCGUUUUCAUAAUGCGCCGCUACUGCCACUAUUCCUGAAUAUUGAACGAUGCGUUUUGUCAGCUUUCUUACGGCGUUUUUGUUUAAAAACGCCACUGAUGGUGCUCUUUUUGCGGCGUUUUGAUAGAAUCGCCGCUAUUGAUGGAUCUUUACCUGCGUUUUGUGAUUAACGCCGCGAAUGCCUGAUUUUUAGCGGCGUUUAAUCUACAAACGCCACAAAAAGCCGCUAAAUCCUGCUUUUGGUAUAGUGUUCUCAAAUCUCUUCUCCUCUGCUUGAUACUCCAUUUCAUGAGCACGAGCCUUCAUCAACUUAUUCAUGAUGUUUUGCACCAUUGCCUCCAUAGUUGUGAUGACUUUUAGCUCAAGUAUCUCUGGGUUACUUACUAUUUUAUGGUAAACUUCAUCUAGUGAGUUCAUAAUGAUCCUUUGAACAUCUGCAUGACUACAUAAAAAAAAUUGUUAUCAGUAUAAGGGUGCUUUUGAAAUGUCAGUGAGCACUUGAGUUCAUAAAUAUUGUAUACCCCUGGACAGUUGACAGCUUCAUAUCGUCUUGAUUUGCUCUGACAUCACCGCUGCCUUCAGUCAGAUCAUUGUAUAUCUUGUCGUCUAGAAAACAAAGUUAUUAAGGUAGGAAACAUAAAGGAUAUUAAUAUUUACAAUUAACAAGUAAAAAGCUGAGGAUUUUAUAAGAUCAUUUAUCAACUUGCAGCAAUUACCUGACAGAAGAAAGUUUUCAAUAUCAAACAACGGCAGUGACAGAAGCUCCUGUAGAGAAAGAGAAUCAGAUCUGAUCCAAAAAUAAGCAAUUUGAAUUUAAAAAAUAUAUACAGGCCAAUACUUACUGGAUCAACAUUAAGCCCCUUUUCUAGUGAGUCUACUUCAUGAUAACCCUGCAAAUAAGGAGAGAAGUACACAACAUUAAGCCCCUUUUCCUACUCAGGACUUUGGUGUGUGUUUGACUAAUAUUUCUAUGAUUGCGUUUAUCUGUAUUUGAUUCCAAUUCAUUGAAAUCAUCCAUGUAUUCCUUGAAUGAACGUACAAUCUAAGACCCAUAAGAAAAAGGACAUAAAAGGAUCAUAAGACAUAAAAAUCCGAAUAUUUAAACUACAAAUAUUUCUGUCUGCUAACUAAUGUUCAGGUAGAAUAAUCUGAGUUCAACAAUUGCUUACAAAGAAAGUAACAAACAUUUCUGGCCAAUAUAUAUAUAUAUGUAACCCAGAGAAUUAAUAAAAAGAAGUGAUAUUUUUGGUUGUAUCACUUUAUAGUUUGCAAAAUAUGAAAUAAACUGCCCGUCAAAGAAAUUAAAGGGAUGACAAGUUGUACUUAUAUGACAGUAGGAAUAGCUGAGAAGGGUUAAAAUUUUCAUUGGUUAAAAGAGAAUCUAUUAUUAUAACAGAGAAUUAAACUUGAUUUUUGCAUCAUUUAUUGAAAGGAUUGAAUAGAAAACUAGUCGACAAUACAUGAUUGCCUAUUCAAGUCAUAAUUUGCUCAACAAAAAUCAAAAUUCGGUUCUAAGUGAAAAAAAAGAACAGAACAGAACAUGAGAGCCAAAAGACAAGUUAUUCUGUGUACACCUCCAGAAGACUGUGAUAUGUACGCUUUUAUUGCAAUAGGAGUUUUAGUUUUAUUUAUUUAUUAUAUCAGGUUUUAUUAAGAGUUUUAAUUUUACUUAUUUUUUCUAUUAUAUUAGGUUUUUAUUUUCAAGUUAAGAAUUCUACUAGGAUUCUUUCCUUCGUUAUUAACAGACUAUAAAAUGCUGCCAAUAUGAAAUAAAGAGAUAAGCAAUUAUUCUAUCAAAAAGAAACGAUAUUAUAAGAGGGAGUUCAGUUAAGGAUGAAUCUGUCUUUUGAGUAAUCAUAGGUCGAUGUAAGAAUUCUUUCUCGUCUAGACCUGUGACUAGAUUGCAAAGGGAGGGGGACAAACAACAAAACCAACGGGGAACAACGGCAAAAUAGGUUCUUCUGCACCAUUUAUUAAGAGACUGACACAGACAGAAAUGGCGGAAAGAAUGGCUAAGGGGUUGUGUUAUAAUUGUGAGGAGUCCUAUUCCAUGGGACACAAAUGUAAAAGGUUAUUUUGGAUAGAAGUACCAAAUGUUGAAGGCAAGCAAGAUGAUGAUGAGGUAGAUGAUUUUGGAUAAGUUCUGAAGUUUAUUCUGAAUUUGAGCUUGAGGACAAGCUCAACUCCAAGGAGGGGAGUAAUGAUAUGGACGCUUUUAUUACAAUAGGAGUUUUAGUUUUAUUUAUUUAUUAUAUCAGGUUUUACUAAGAGUUUUAGUUUUACUUAUUUUUUCUAUUAUAUUAGAUUUUUAUUUUCUUCAUACACUCUAAUUUAGGAUUUCUAUUUGGACUCUUUCCUUUGUUAUUAACAGUCAAUAAAAGGUUGCCAAUUGAAAUAAAGAGAUAAGCAGUUAUUCUAUAAAAAAGAAACGUUAUUUUUGAGUAACUAUUGGUCGAGGCAAGAAUUCUUUCUCAACUAGACCUGUGACUAGAUCCUACGCCAAGGCGCAUAAGAGACAGUUUCUAAAUAAACUUACCACAUCAACCCUAAAAAUUUAAUAAUGCAAGAACAAAUUACCAAGAAAGAAAAGUCAUGCCGCUACUACUAAGUUACAGAGUCAUGUUUUCUACAAUAAUUUUCAUGAUAAAAGUAAAAUCUAAAGCUCCAUUGAUUAAAAUACUAAUGACAAAUUGGGUGCUUCUACUCAAAAUGUUUACCUGUAGAUUGAUGUGAAUCUUCGCACCUCUGGUACAAUCAGGGGUUAGAGGAAAAUGGAACAUAAACUGUUCAUCUUCCAUUUGCACAAGAUCUUGAAUACUAACAGGAUUUGUAAGCUUUUGGUUCUUAAUAUCUUGUAGCAUUACUAAAACAGAAGCCAAAACUUUGUUUACUAUUUUUUCCACUAUGCUAAAGAACUUAGCCUCUGAGAUUAAUUCCUCUGUUUGGUCCACAAUAGCCUCUCCCUGCAAUGCUUUUACUGAAAUAUAAAGAAAGCAGAUAACAAAUUUUAAUUUAAAUGAUUAAAACAAAUCAAGAUUAAUAUAUUUAUAUAUGUAAAAAAGAGUUAUUAAAACAUGCCUAGGAUGUCUGUCUCUGGUAUUCCUUAAGCAGUCUCCAGAACAUCAACAACAAAUGGCAUUAAUCAACAUAAAAAUCGUACCUAUGAGUGAGAUUACGUGAGGAAGGUCCUUGCAAAUCUCAUCAGCACACUCUAUGUUCCGGACUGGAUUUGUUGACUGGUUCAAAAAUGAAUCAAGCUCUUGAAAUGCAUUUUCGAUGCUAAGACUGGAACUGGCAUUAUCGACAAUCCUGGGCUGCAUCAAAUUUUUCAAUCGUUGCAGUAAGAGUUGAGGGUCACGAAGCCGAUUCAUCCCUUCCACUACUAUCUCUUUCUUUUCUUCCCAUUUCCUCUACAUUCAAAAAAGUUACUAAAAGCAAUUAGAAACAUAAAUGAACUUGCACCCUCAGUUUUUUAGCUCAAUAUUCUUGAGUAAAAACAAAAGCACGAUAAUCUGAUACUUGUAGCAAAAAGUUGAACACACUCCUGGUAUUUGGAAAAAAAGAGUCAGAAAUUGCAGGAUUGACAUGUUACGUUGUAGUGGGAGUCGGAUUGGCAUGGAUUAGUUUGCUCUUUUUUCUUUCUUUUUUUUUCAAAAUACAAAUUAUAAAAAGAGAGGAAAAGUCUCACAGCAGCUUGAUAUCUGUCAUCACCAUCCAAUAGCAUACGCAUCAAUUCUCCCACCAGCUCGUUACAGUCCUGCAUAUAUAUGGAGAGUAACUAUUAUUAAACAAACCCUAAACGAUAAAGAAAAUAGCUUAAUUGCAAGAAAGGAAAGAAAAUGAAUAGGUACCUUGAUUCUUUUACGACUGCGCUUAUCUUUAUCUGAUUCCAAUUCUAUGAAAUUCCCCAUAUAUUCCUUGAACGACGUACAAUCUGAGAAUCAAGCAAAAUGAUAUAAAAAUAUCUUACAAUAUUCUGUAAGUUCAAAUUUUCCUUUAAAAGCAAAAUAUAUUUCUAAAAAAAGCAAAGUCAAACUCGAUUCUAUCCAGUAGACCAGAGAAAAAUAUAAACCAAACCAGCAAAGAGCGAAGAGAAAUGGAGCUUAACAUUGCUUACGAUUGCAGAGUAGAGACUUCUUAUGCCGUCGCAGAAAUCUUUUAUCAUUUUUUCCUCAAGACUUUUAUUUCUGAUGCAUUCGCACGAUCGUGCGAAUUUCGCUUUUCUGAAUUAUUCGAAAAAAUAUUAAAAAGAAAUUGAUUAAAUCCCAAAUUUUGAAAAAGUAGUCUAUUUUCCAUUUGUGUGUUCACAAUAAUCUACAUUUACUGUUGAAGUUAUCAAUAAUUCUCGUUUCUCCCGUUUGAGAAAAAUUAAGUUGAUACGUUUGCAGGGGUAUUGCCAAGGGUGUGUUAGCAAAUGUCAGUUCCUUUAAAGAAAAAAAAUUAAAUUACUCAACUCUCGAUAAUAAUAAAAAAUUCACUAAACUAUAAAAAGUUACAUUUUAAUCAUUAAUAUUUUUUUAAUGAAAAAAUAAUAAAUAGAAAUUCAAGUAUCAACUAUUGAAAGACUCUAAAGGUUUUUGUCUCGUUAGAUAGCCGUAACCACCGAAUUAAGAGGUGCUUCAAAUAUCUGAAGGGAGGUCUGCCAAGAGAGACUAAUCUUUGCCAAUUGAUUUGCAAUUAAAUUACACUCCCUAGGAACAUACUUAAUUUUCCAUUGACCUUCAAAACGUAAAAUACAUUUAACUCUUCUGAGCAAGGUAAUACCGGAGUCCACCGACUCCUCCAUAGACAAGGCACUAACCACCUCAAGGUUAUCUGUCUAAAUCCUGACUUUCUUGUAGCCCUUAUUUAAUAAAAUGAGAAUUCUGUAAAGAAUACCCCAAAGUUCUACCUCCAAAGGUGAACAUCUACCCAAAUAAUGAUUAAAGCCCAAAAUCCAAUUGUCAGCCUAAUCACGAACCACCCACCCACGGAUGCAUUUUCGAAAGCUCUAGCCACUCCUCCAUCAAAAAAUAAAUAAACCCAAUUGCCUUUAUAAUGGGAAUGAAUUUCCGAAUUUGGUGAAUUAGGCUUGGCCUCAUUUAGAAAAGGUUCAAAUUGUUUGGCCCAAUUGAGAGAGACUUUUACAAUUUCAUAAGUCGUCCAGUUAAUGUUUUGGAAGAUGAAAAGAUUCAUGUUCUUCCAAAUUCUCCAAGCAAUUAAUCCAAAUAAGCUUGACCAAGUAAUUUCCUUAUCCUGCAUCUUAAAAUGGCAACAAAGGUUAGUGGAAAACCAAUUUUGAAGGGAAUCAAAAAAAAAAAAACCUGGAUUGCAUCUUAGGAAGGACUACAAGCUUCCAUGCUUCCUUAGCUGUCAAACAGUCUUGGAGUACAUGCAUAAUGUCCUUAGUAUUAUGACCACAUAAAGAGCACGCAGUGUUUUGCUCAAUUCCUCUCUUAACGCUCUCUAAAUUAGUAAGAAGUCUAUGUUUGAACACAAACCAAAGAAAAAGAUGAACUCUCUGUGGGCUUUGAUAUUUCCAAAUAGACUUUCAACUAUCAUCUUUAGGACUCCAAGAAUCUUCUUUUAAAGCCCAGUAAGCAUUACGAACAGAAAAAGACUCUCAAUCAGAUCGAGCCAAAUGAUCCCAUCCUCUCCACCAAUACAGUGAGAAGGGGGGAUACUUACUAUACACCUUAUCACGUCAUUAGGUAGCCAAAUACGAAGCAAAUUAACUUUCCAAGAAGCAUCAAGAAGAACCCAAUCCCUCAAAGUGCUCUCCAAACCUAUGCUUGCAUGAGCUAGAACAUAAGAAAAAAAGAGGACCAACUUCUAGUAUCCAAGAAUCUUUCCAACAACGAAUUAGAGCCAUCACCUACAGACCACAUAAGAUUCUCACAAAAAAAUGGGUCACACCUUAGAAAGGGAACUCCAAAGAUGAGAGCAUUGAUUUUUGUGGAUAGAAUUUGGAAGCUAAUUCUUCCACCCAUAUUUCGAACAAAGGACACGAACUCAUAAAGCACCCUUUAUAAAGACUAGAUUGAACCCAAUCUUCAUAAGUAAGGAAUUAUUUUGGUCUUGGAGGUGCCGAAACCCGAGGCCCCCUCAAGACUUAGGUUGACAAAUGGACUCCCAACCUUCUAAAGUUGUUUUUGGAUGCCCAGCAGAACCACCCCAAAUGAACUAUCUUUCUAUCCUCUCUAUCUCAUCACACACCUUUCGAGAUUAACAAGGACUGCAUAAAGUAGUUUGAAAUAGCUAAGAGAACUGAUUGGGCAAGAAUGAUAACUGAUUGGGCAAGAGUGACAUGUCCCGCAAAGGAGAGUUUCCUAACAUCCCAAUUUUGAGUUAUAGUGACUUGGUACAUUAACCCAAAAGAUAUUAUCUAAUUUGACCUUGACCUCUAGUUAAAAUAUUCAAUUUCAUCCUUUCGCAACCUUUUUUAACGAUAAUUCUAAAAAAAUUAUUUAAAUUUUCAAAAAAAUUAUUUAUUUUCUAAAUAUAAAUAUUCACUAAAUUAUAUUUAUCUUUUACGGGUUUUUUAUGCAAAGGUUAAUGUUGUAGUAGCUAGGGAUGUUCAUAGUUCAGUUAAAACCGAAUCAAUCGUUUUAACCAGUCUAAUUCGAUUAAUCAACCAAUGGUUGAAUUUAGUUCAAUCGAAAGUCAGUUAAUGAUUUUUUAAAAUUUCAGUUAUCAGUUAAUUCGAUUCAAAAUCAAAUAAUUAAUCAAAAUAAAUAAUAUAUAUUAUAUAUAAUUAUUAACUUUAAAGAUUUAUGUAAUGUUUUUACAGUUUUAUUUAUUACUUUCAACCCCAUUUAAAAGCUUUUGAACUAUUAAAAGAAAUGACCAUUAGCACUAUAUUCUUAUUAUUUUUUAUACUUAUUUUAAUCAAAAGAUAAAAAAUAUAUAUUUCAAUUAACCGACCAAAUUAACCAAAAUUUUUCAAUUCGAUUAAUGUACUUGAAAAAACUUCAAUUCAGUUCAUGGUUAAAACUUUUUACAUUUCAAGUAAUUCGGUUCAAAUAUUAAUCGAACCAACCGUUUGAACAAUGCAAUCCAUACACUUAUUGAAUGCUUUUAACGGCACCGAUUAAAUUAUCCAACGAAUUCUACAAGAAUAAAUUUAGAAUUGAAUUGGAGUUUGUUCGUAUAUGAAAUACGCACAAAGUCCAUGUAAACCAUUCUUGGCAAAGCCAAUCCUUGAAUAUCCUCUUGUAGCAGUUGAGCAGGUCCUGCUGGCGGCACACUAAAAAUUUGCAUGCCAACAUUCUGGUUUGAAGAAAGACAGAGCAUCAGCUAGCCGAUUCGCUUCCCUAUGCACAUUCUGAAUUGAAGUCAGCAAAGCCAAACCAUUCUUCCAAGUUGUAAAAACUCCUGAUUCAAACACAAAAGCAUCCCACUAAACCAUUAAAAAAUUCUAUUCCAACGUCAAAUAGAUUUCGACUUACUUGACCGCAAUAACAAGUAGCAAUUAGUCAACCCGUGGUUUCUUGGACAGCUUCAGUCUGCCUUCUCUUUUUCUUAGAGAAGCAAAAGCAAUUACUGAGAUUUAUAAAUAUAGACACGAACCAUAAAUGAAAAUUUGGGGUUGGAGUAUUAACAGUUCAUCCACUAUUUGCACAAUGUCCUUGAAAAGGAUUUGCCAAGUUCAAAAUGUCGUAGAUCUUAACAUAAGUCGUUGCUUGUUUCUUCCUGCCUUCUUGUGGUCACAAAAGACAUGUUCCUGGAUAUGCAAAGUAGACAAUUAAUAAUCAUUUAUCCGAAGAAAAGAAAUGAGAGAAAGGAGACCCAAAGACGAGAUGAUUGGUACCUGUCUGCAUAAAUUACGGCUAAUACACUGAUGUAAAUCAUAAAUGAAGCACUUUACCGUCCAUCAGUCCGGCUUCUAAGUUAAUAAUUUUGAUCUAAAUCCAACAUCUACUAUUGCCAUAGAUAUCGCACUUAAUACUAUCGGUAUAGUCUUCAGAACUGGAUUCUUCGAGGGAAAAAGAAAACUUGAUUCGCUUUGCUAAGAAAGCUUAUUUGGUCCCUAUCUGUUGAAAUCAGCCAAGAAAUUUGGGCAUGCACUUUGCAGCUUAAAAGACCAUACACUCUGAGCAUCAAUUAGGAAAAACAUUACGGUAUGUUUAUUGAUGAUAAAAAAAUGUCGAAGAGAGGGAAGAAACGACUGCAAACUAAACAUUACCUAGUAAAAUUUAAAGGUAAAUUUCAAAAGAAAAGAACUUUCCCUGAAUCAGACUGUUGAAUUGAGUGAGGAAGGGAUUUGUGAAUCUCAGCCCAAUCUCAGCUCAAACUGGUAUUUGUUGACUGGAAAAGCAUUUUUAGAUUUGUUAUCUGCUUCAAAAAUGCAUUUGUCAACAAAUCCAGUCCGAUCCAAGACACCGGAAUACUGAACUGCAUCUUGAAUUAAGGGUCUUGGGGGUGACUCAUCGCUUCAAGCACUAUCCACUAUCAACAUCCUUCCCCUAUAUAAUAUAAACUUCGCAAAAUAAAAUACUGAAACAAAUUAAAACAGAUUAUAAAAGAGAUUGUGGAUCUUGGUUCAUCGCUCCUUAUACUAUCUACUAUCUACAUCUCUGCAAAAAUAUAUUAAAACAAAAUAUAAAAGACAGUGGUUGGUUCAUUGCUUCUUUUACCAUCUACUAUCUAUUUCCUAAAAGUUACUAAAAAGAAUUAGUAACAGAAACAUCAGCAGAUAAGGAAAAACAACUACAAAAUUUGCAUCUGUAAAAGGAAACACCAAAAUGGUGAGAAUGAGACUCAAGACUAGAGUGAUUUUGCUUACGGACGGGCAAAAACGGAAAAGAACAAAAAUGACCUAAAGUGAAAAGAACUCCUCCACACAACUGAAUAGCAUUUAUGUUCUCCAAUAACAAAAUUUACACUUAUAUAAGGCAAAUGGCCGAAUGGCCUCAGGGUUUCAAAUAGGGUAGGCAUAGUGGUUUCACAGCCGCUAAUUCAAAAUAGCAGCAGCAUCCGCUACCACUAAAGAUCUCAAUAGCUGCGUCAACAUAUUUUCAGAUGUUCUUCGAACUAAGUAAAUAGAGAAAGAGUACAAGAUAAGGCGGAAUCCAAAGUAGAAAAUAAAAUGUAGAGGAGUAACGUAGAGGCUGAGAUAAGGUAAUUGAUACUGUAAGUAGAUAUAUUUUAGGGUUUCGAAAUUUACCUUGCAAAAGAGGAUUUGGAUCUGAGUAAUGGUGAGAUCCCUGCUUGGCGGCCAACGCUGAGAGAUGAGGGUAGGAAGGAGUUUCUUUUUAAAGAAAAUUUUACUAUUUUAGCCCCACAAAAAAAUUAUUGGGCUCUACUUGGGUUUUAGUUUUUGUUCCCUCUACUUUUGUUUUGUUGUCAUUCUUUUUUCCUUUUUUUUUUAUGAUAAUUUUUAUAUAAUAGUGUUAAGGUGUUCAUCACCCCAAGUGUUAUAUAGGUUUAAGUUGCAUUAGUCGUAUUACUGUUAUUAACACAAUUAUAUUUUAAUUUAAUAUUCAAGUUUCAUUUAAUUCUUUCUCCUAAUCUCACAUCUUGGUUCUUACAUUUUUUUUAUUAACACGAUUCAAGCAAUUAUAAUUCAAAUGAAUCCAAUUUAAAAUACAAUUGAAUUUAAAAUCAAAAUAUAUUCAAACUUAGACUAAAUAAAUCUAAAAAGAACCUAAACUAAAAUUAAUGGACAUGAACCUAAACAGCAUUUUGCAAUAUGGUCCUUAUAUUCCAUUAAAAUGUAAUAAUGAGACAUGACAAUAUUGUAUCACAUCACCACUUGGGCUUAUUUAAUUUUUAAAAUUUUCAAAUGAUGAAUUGACAUAAUCUCUUAUUAUCACAUCAUCACACAUUAACAGAAUUUAAGUUCAUGGACCAAAUUAGAAAGAAUUCAAUGACCAAGAUGAGACAUGAGUGCUUGAUAUAAUUUUUCUUUCAUAGGGCUCAAGCUUGAAGGACAAAAUAUGGGUACUUAACAUUAUCAAUUCGUAACAUUUUAAUCAUUGUGUCCAACCCAACUAAGUCUGGCAUGGCAGAAGUUAUAUUUUAAUUAUUUACACAUAAUCGUUUAUUAUUAUAUUGUGAAAUAUUAUAUUAAUGGUCAUAAAGUACCAAAGUAAUGGUUCUUUGUAAGUUAACUAAAGUUAACUUUAUUGACAUGACAUGUGAUUGUCUAGGUAUAUGCUUCAUUAGUAAUUAUUUAACUUUAUAAAGUAAAAAGAAAAUUAUUAAAAUUAUAAAAAAUUAUAAAUAAAAUUAUAAAAAUGAUUUAAGCCCAAUAAACCAUUAAACUUACCACCAAACCAUUAAACUUACCACUAAAGAUAAGUUAAUUUACACUUUACCACCAAACCAUUAAACUUACUUUAAUAUAAAUUGAACAAAAAUAAUAUUUAAGCCCAAUGAACAAAGAUAGGCCUAGGAACAAAAAUAAAUGAUUUUCCCUAUAGAAGGAUUUGAACCUAAAACUUCCAACAAACAACUAAAAUACUUAACCACUAAAACAUAUAUUACUUUAUAAUAAAUUUUAACAAAUCACAAUAAAACUUAGAGCAUUAUAUGGGAAAUUCACCGCUAUGUAUGUACUAUAUUGUGAUAAUUCUUUAAUACCUUAAGGGUCAAGAUCGUAUCACCAGCUCAAAUACCCUAGGGUACAAGCAUAUUCUGGUGUGGUUGGUGAGGUCGAUGCAUUUAUGCUCGAUUAGCACUUUAGUACAUCUACUUCUUUUUCCUCCUCUUCUCCAUCAUGAAAUCAAUUUAAUUUCUUAGAAAAGUUUUGGAUCAAUUUUCGGAUUCCAAUCGAUAUCAUCAAUAUACAUAUCAGUUGCAUAACUUGACAACUUAUCCUUGUAAGGAAAAUCAUGAUAAUUUUCCCAGAACCUCUGUUUAGCUUCCUGAAAAGCUUUUAAAUUAGUCGAAUCAUCUCAUUCGAAUACUUUAUAAGCUUUAUACAAAGUAUUCUUCGCAUCAAUAAAUAUUUUCCAUGACAUUGCACCCACUUUCAUGCAAAAUUUUUAAAACGAAUAAAUCGAUUAAGAUUUUAAUUAUUAAACCCAUAAGACCAUAACCUGUUUACAAACUCAAACCCAAACCCAAACCCAAAGUAAACAUUAAAUCCAAAUUCUCAUUAAAACUCGUUAUUCUUACAAAAUUAUAGCCUAUUAAAACUUUAAAAUCCAAUACCUUUUCUGAGUCAUGCUAUUCCAUAAGUGCAGAGGUAACCCAUGAACUUCAAGCCAAGUUGCCCUCCGCUCAGGAAGGAAAUCAACUAACCUACAUCAUCUGAUUAAAAGCACAAUAACUCCACAACAUCUGAUUGACAGCACAAGUUAAUUGAAUUACCAAGAAUCAAUAUCAAUAACUUACAUAAAAGAAUAGAGAUUAAAUAUAAGAUGAAAUCAACCAAGCCAAGCUGGCAAUGUCUAAGCCAAAAUAUUCAUUUACCCCAUUUCAAUCCUACAAUAGUCAAGAUUUGACUAAACUUUGCAACCUAUACAAGUCUUUUUGGGAUUUUGACAAAAUAUAAAUAAAAGCCCCGAGAAGAUACUUAAAACAUUCACUCAUCCAUGGCAACUGCUUGAAAGAAUUUGGGUUGUCAUCUAGCUCAUAAUCAAAUACAAGAUCAAUACCGAAUUCUAGCACAGAUAAAUCUGAAAGAACCCGAAGAGUAAUAUGAUCACCGGCUUCUAGUUCACCACCCCUAAAGUCCCAACAAGUAAACCAGUAUAAGGUAUUCUUGGUUCCAAGAAUUCCUGUGAAAUGUUUGGAGUAGGUCCACUUUGUACCUUUAGUCUCGUUCACAAUUUCAAGGAAUGGUAAAAAUUCAUUUGUAUUAUCAUUCUUGGCAGAAAAAAUGAUAAUCGAAUUUAAGAAGCAACUAAUCUUUCGACUAGAGUUUGGGGGCAGUGACAAUGAAACCUCAGUCUUGCCAGCUUGAUUGCCAAAGUAGUGGCCAUAGUAAUCAAAUGGCAUUGGAUCAAAUGCUGUAAUUAUGCCAUAAUCGUAUAGUACCUGUAGCAUUGGGUUAAGGAAUUAGUUAUUAAAAAUAUAUAGUAUAUAAAUAAAUUUUGAAACUUGGAACUCGUAAGGAACCUGUGGGGAAGAAACCACUUUUGAUUCUUCUAUAUAACUGCAAAGUUGCACUUUAACAUUUCCAUAAGAUUCCAAAUUGAGUAAGUUUUUAGUUAGGUCCAUCUUGAUAUUUCUUGGGGAAACUUCAUCUCUUAAAAUGUGUACAAUAAUGUGUUAUUUAUCAAUUUUAAUGAUCAUCAACAUAAUAUGCCUAUUAUAAUACCAAAGUAUUAAUUUUGACAUGAAAAAAAACGUUGAUUAAAGUUUUUAUCAGACACCCAUAUAAUAUGGGUUUAAACUGUGUAUGAAAAAAAAUAUCAAACAACUAAUUUUAUGUAUUAUGACUAAAAUAUGUUAUAAGACUUGUUAGAAAUAACCAAUUAUACACUUUUUUGAAAAAAAAAAACAAUUAUAUCUGUAUCUUUUAUUUUUAUAUAAAAUAUCAACUUUAAAAAUACCACUUUUAACUUCAUCCAUUAUUUUAGUUUCCACUUAGGUGAUAGAUUAAUCAUCUAUCAAACAAUUAACUUAUUUUGAUUAGACCUCAAUUGCAACAUAAUUUUAUAAUUAUUAUUUUAUUAUUAAGCUAAAUUUCUCUCAGAAUCUAUUAAACUUAAGUUAUAUUUUUAUUGUAUUGGAAAGCCUUUUAGAGAAACAUAUAUCAAUUUUUGAAUUUUUUUUAUUGACAUCUAAAAGGAAACAUAUGUUCAAACAAUCUAAAGGGGGCAUUAAAAUAAAUAUAAUAGGAUGUAUUAACUAAAAUACAAUCUUACCGUCGAAAACACAAUUAGAUAUUCAUAUAAUUCAUUAUUUCAAUAAGGAUAUAUCUUUUUAGCCAUGUGUUUUACUCAUUAAUGUUAAUAGUGCAUUGGGUAAUAUGCCAUAAACAUAAUUAUUUGAAAUCUACUCAUACCUGUAGAUAAAUAUGAAAAACCAUAUUUAUAUCUAAUGUUGUGUUCGGAUUCAUAAGUAACGCCAAAUUUUCUUACGCUGAGAUGAAUAGGCAUUAUCAUGCAACUCACAAGGUCACCACCUUCAAACUGACAAUCCGUUACUGGCCAAUGGAUCAACCACAACAUUGUGUUAUCGUUAGUCUUAGGAAUUCCGAUGAAACUUGAGCGAUAUCUCUGCAUGAUCCUUUUGGUCUCAUUGAAAAUGUAGACACUUGGUAGAAGGUCCAAUAUUUGAUCACUAGCUAAGGAGAAAACAAUGCAUAAGCUGAACCGAUGGAUCUUUUCAUCUGGAUGAGAUGGUGUUGGCAAAGAAAAAGAGAUUCGGUGCUCGUUAGUGCGAUGCUUAAACACAAUAGGAACUUCACUUCCUAUAACAAAUGUGCUUGUUAUACCACAUUCCUGCAAGACCUGAUCCAAAAAAAACAUGUUAGAUGAUUACGAAUGUGUUGAUUAAGUAAUAUAAGACAAAAAGAAAAAGAUUUAAAAUUUAAGUUGGAGAACUAUUGGACCUGUGGGGUAGCAAGCAUUAUGUUGUCCGUUAGGCAAUUAUAAAGUCGCACUCGAUUUUUGUUGACGGAAUUCACGUUGAAUAAUCUUCUAAUCUCUUCCGCAUCAAAGUUUUCAAUUGGCUCCAACUUGAAUAUAUCUUGAACCUCGGUCAAUUUUUCACAUCCAAAAAUAACACAACGUUUGGAAGAAAAGAAGCAUGGAAGAAUUGACCUAGAGUUUUUUACUGCAAAUACUGUCGAGAACCCAGAAACAUUGGGCAAGACCGGAAGCUUUGGAAUCAUUUGGAGUUCAGUGCAAGAAGUCAAUAGAAGUUCAUCAAGUUUUGUAAGUUCUUUUAAGCUUUCGGGUAGGUAAUGAAUUGGGUUUCUACUUAAAUUUAAGGAUUUCAAGGAAGCCAAGUUACAAAGAUCAUUGGGCAUGACAUCAUCAGAUAAUUUGCAACUUUCAAGGCUUAACUUUACCAAAGAGCCCGGUAGAGAUGCCCAAGAGAAACCCAAUCCUUUGCUUCUUUUCAGUAAGAGCCACUGCAACCCCAAUCUUGAUUGAUAUAUGGCAGUUUCAUCUAAAUUAAGCACCUUCAAUGAUUCCAUAUUAUGCAACUCCCUAGGAACAUCAUCAAGUCUUGAACUACCAGAUAAGAUAAGCUCUUCAAGUGAUAUUAAUGAACCAAUUGUCCUUGGAAGUUUCCUAAGACUUGUGCAAUCUUUAAGGUUCAAGAAGUAGGCAUCUUUAGCUCACCAAUGGAUUGAUCAACUUCCACCAAAUUUAUGCAAUCUUUGAGCAUCAACUUCUCAAGGCUAGGGAGUCCUGAAAAGGUUGGGGUUUUAAGAAGGCUAUGUGAAUGGUUGAGAUUAAGGAUCUUUAAAUUGGGGAGGCACUGCACAAAAAGAAAACCCUUCAUUUAUAUAUUAUUGUUUCACACACACACAAAAAGAAGGAAAAUUAGUAUAUAUCAUACCUCUGUAUCCUUCCAAACUUGUUUAAGUUUACUGUUGCGCAUGUCGAGAACAACUAGUUCAUUGAUAUCAAAAUCCACCGGAAAAGAUUGCAUCCAAAACCCAUGCCAACGUAACCAUCUUAAUCUUUUGGGAAAGUCUUUGAAGUCUCCUUUAAGUCUUACAUAAUCCAGUUGAAGCAGUUUAAGUCUCUUUAUCUUUGCAAAUGCUUGAGUUUCCAUAUCAACAUCAUUUGCCAUGAGAAACUGACUUUUGGAAUGCUUUGGAAAAUGUAGAGUUGCAUUUGUCCUUUUAGCCUUGUCUUCUAGCAAUCCUUUUAGGUCAAGUGUGAGGCACUUAACUGUUCUGGAACCCUGCAUCAGAAAAACUUUUUUAAAAAAUAAAAAGAAAUUUGAUAAUAAAAAAAAAGGUAGUGAAGACGAUGGGAUAAGGCUAAUGUUGAUAUGGGAUGUGAAAAGGCAGGUAAGAGCAGUAGACUAUGAAAAGUCAUAAUAUAUAUUAUAAACAUUUCUUACGUUACAUUUCAACCACCUCUUUAAUUCCACCAGAAUCCGGUACUACUCGCUCUUGAGUGCUAACACUCUCCUCGUUACUGCCCUCCAACUUUUUCCUCCACAAUAUUUUAAGAAAAACUCAAUUCAAAUAAUAUUUUUAUAUUUAAAGUUUAUGAUUAUUUCUCUUAAUAAUGUUGUCUUUAAAAUUCAGAUAUCUAUUUCUCUUGAAAAUACAAUACCUUAAUUAUUCAAAUAAUAGUCUUAACAGAAAGAUUAAGCACCAAAUAUUCUAUAAAUACUAACAAGCUAAUGGUCUAAAGUCUAGAUUGAGUAGCACUAUUAUCCAAAUUCCAAAACAUAGUGCAACAAAUCAAUUCUUUCCCGGCGACCAAAUGACGUUUAUUAUAUAUAUAGAACUCUACAACCUAGUGCUACUAAUUAUCAAUUUUAUUGUUGUGACUCCAUAACUAAAAUUUAGUUGAUCCCUUGACUCAAGAGUGUAAUUAUUCGAAUAGGGAUUAUAUCUCUUUUACAGUGGUACACUAAUUCGUCUUAUUAUAUGGGUUCACUACACCAAAAUAGGCUUUUAGCGGCGCUUUUUUAGGCCUUUAGCGGCGCUUUUUAGCGCCGCAAAUACUUUUAGCGGCGCUUUGAUAAGCGCCGCAAAAGAUGCCGCUAAAGGUGUUGGUCUAUAGCGGCGCUUCUAUCACAAACGCCGUUGAAGACUAAGAGCUUUAGCAGCGUUUUUAAUAUAACCGCCGCUAUAGAUUGGUGUAUUUAGCGGCGUUUUUGUUGAAAGCGCCGCUAUAGAUUAGGGUCUUUAGCGGCGUUUUUUAUAUAAGAGCCGCUAUAGAUCAUGGCCUUUAGCGGCGCUUUUCCCCAAAACGCCGCAAUAGACCCUGAUCUAUAGCGGCGCUUAUCCAGAAAACGCCGCAAUAGACCCUAAUCUAUAGCGGCGCUUAUCCAAAAAAUGCCGCUAAAUACCCUUUGUCUAUAUAGCGGCACUUCGCGCAAAAACGCCGCUAAAGACCCUAAUCUAUAGCGGCGCUUUUACCAAAAACGCCGCUAAAUUUGGCAGAUUUGUAAAUUUUUUUUAUAUUUUCUGCCCUCCUGUAAAAAACAAAUCAAAAGAAAUCAUAUCUAAACCAGCCAAAAGUAACAAAUCUAUGGAUUAAAAAAAAUAAUAUAAUAAAUAUCAAUAAAUAUAAACAAAUUCGUAUUAUUCUUACAAAAAUGUUAAAAGUUAAAAUGAUAAUUGAAAGUCAAAAUUGAAGUAUAUUUACACGAUAGUCUAAGACGACGGCUGUUGCGACUGCUGAAACAUCUUCAUCAUACUCUGGAGCUGCUGCUGGAGUUCAUCGAACUUUUGACGCUGCUCUGCUUCCCUCGCUGCAGCCUCUGCUUCCCUCGCUUUAGCCUCUGCUUCCCUUGCUGUAGCUUGUUCUUCUCUCGCUGCCGCCUCUGCUUCUCUUGCUGCCGCAUCUGCUCUAAGCUGCUGCUGGAGUUCUUCAUACUUUCGUUGAACCUCAGCUUCUCUCGCUGCUGCAUCUGCUUUAAGUUGUAGCUGGAGUUCUUCAUAUCUUUUUUGAACAUCAGCUUCUCUCGAUGUUGCCUCCGCUUUAAGUUGUGUAAUUUGCUCAGUUGUUGUCGCUUGCAUCAGAGCAAUCUGGUCUCUUAACCUCUGAACUUCAGCUUCAGCUCGACUCCCCGAAGGCAUAUACUGUUGCGAGCUAGAUCCAAAAUAUUGGGACGGGUUAACAAAAGAUCCUUGGAAUCGAACCCGACCAUACCUUUCAGGACCCAAAACUUCAGUGAUAAUCCAGUUAUCAAUGUCGUCAAUAUGAACAGAACUAUCACUGGAUGCAAUCGCGUCGUACUCUGCCUUUUUAUUCUUUAAUUUUUCCUAAAAAAUAAAUCACACAUAGAUAGGAACGCAAUAUAUAUUAAAAAUAAGAAUGCAACAUAACUUAACAAUAUUUGCAUUAUAAUAAAUGAAAUAAAUCAUUAGAAAGUAAACACUAUAUAAAUAAUUAAAACAAGUGAAAUUGUAUUAAGCAAACGUACCAUAAUUUCUGCAGCUUCAGGAGUCAUAGGGUUUCCAUCUUUCUUCCUAUGUGUAAUGUCAAAAAGUUGAAGUCGUCCAACUUUUUGACCGGACGACAGUUCCUACAAUACAAUAGUAAAAAUAUUAAUUAAUAGAAAGUAAUAAAUAUCUGCCAAUAUUAAAAGCAUUUCAAAAUACCUCUGCAUGAGCUACACACGCAAAACUUUUUGACCCAGCUGUGUGAGUGAAUUUUUAUUGCUGCCUACUCUGUUUUCCAACUUGUUCACGAUCCUACAUUAUGAAAUUAUUAGUACGUUAAUUAGGAAAUACUAUACACCAAAAUAAUUACAAAAUUUUAUAAGUUACACAUACCUCUCCUUUCUUCGAAGUCCAAAAUCUAACGACCUCUUCCCAGUGGCACCUCAGCAUUCCCGGCGGGACAUUUUGUAAUCUCUCGUCGAGUGUUGUUUUUGUUUUAAAAUAUUCUUUCUUUAAAGUGCUCUUAUGGUCUCUCCAUCUUUUUCCCAAUGCCUUCUUUACAUAAGCAUCGGAGACUUCUAGAGCAAAUCUCGCCUACAAAAAAGACAACUUAAGAAAGUAAAUGUAAACGAAACUUAAACCCAAGUAUUAUAAAUGACAUACACGUUUUGUUACCUUAAUGUUAUCGAGACCUUGGUUCUUGUUACUCUCGGGCACUUUAUGCCAUGACUCGAAGUUAAUUGGCAACAUAUUUGCAUUCCGUGCUAGAAUGCCCAUGUAUCCUGCUAAAAGGCGGGCUUCUGAUCCAACAGGCUGACCAAAGCUAUUACUGGAUACUUGGACACGCUCGACUGGAUCUAGGUCAUAUAAAUUGCUCAGUACUGUACGUCCGCGAACUCUCCGCGUCUCACCAGUUUCAUCUGAAAAAUAAAAGUAUUGUAAUAUACGAAAUUUAAAAAAAAAUAAACAAGAAGUCAGCACACAUGAAAAUUAAAUGUUAAAUUACUUUGAACUUCUAUAUGUUCCUCAGGUGUAACCGGAACAUUCGAAGAUCCAAUUGCAGUCUGUUGUUCAGUGCUGUUUGUUUCCGCCGAGUUUGGAGUACCUUGAACAAUGCGGUGCGAUCGCACUUUUCUUCUAGGCAUUUUAUCUGCAAUACAAAUAAAUUAGUUGAAAACUUAGUAUACAAUUACAACAAUAACAUCAUUCGUAAAUAUAAUUAGAUAAUUGUAAAAGCUGACUACAUUAUAAUUCGUAAAUAUCUUCAUCCGUAUCCUGGCGGACCCAUUGAAAUUGUGUACUAGUACUAGGGAUGUUUUCGUUUAAGUUCUGUUCUGAAAAUGGUAAAGUUUGUGUUCUGUUGUCAAUGUCAUCUCUACUUCCACUGCCCAUGUCAAACAAGUCUCUAGGGAUGUUACGGAGUACAACGUACCAACCCUCAUCAGUUGGAUCUUUUGAGUAAAAAACUUGUUUGACUUGAGAAGGAAAUACAUACGGCUCAUCAAUCAAUUGUUGUCCUGUGUGAAUCAAUCGAGCGAAGUUUACCAUUGUGAAACUAAAUUGAUCUUGCUUGAUUCCACGUGCAGUAUUAACAUCGGCCCAAUCACCUCGAAAUAAGACAACUUUCCAUUUGCCGUAGUAAUCCAACUCAAUUAUGUCAGUAAGAAGUCCAAAAUAUUCCACAUUUCCCUCCACAGGAUUAUUGUCCCUAGCACUAGCAUAACUUGUAAUUGAGGAAUUAACAACUAUUCCAUAAUUUUGCGUUCUCCUCAAUCUCUCGCGAUAUUUUGUAUGAAAUCUGAAUCCAUUUAUGAGGAAUGCACUAUAUCUUUUAACCACCCGAUUUGGACCUUGGGAAAGCCAUUUAACUUCGUCGGUGACGUUCUUCCCACUCCAAACCUAUUGAAUGGAAAGUAAACUGAGUAAUUAAAAAUGUUUUGAACAAAUAUUAUUAUUUGUCGGUGAAAGCUCCAAUUACAUACUGUUUGACUUAACCAUUCAUGAAAAGAUUCUGUAAACAACUUAUUGAUAUCUCGAUGUUGUGUUCUUCGGGAGCGCGAACGAGAUCUCAAUAUUUGUUUGUACUCACUAUGUUACAAAUAUGUUAAGUUUGUUAGACUAUAAACAAUUUUGAAAUGAUAAAUAUUUAUCAAAUUUCUAGAACUUACUUGCGUAAAGGUUCCAUUGAUUCGUGGUGAAACAGAACAUAUCGAUGUGCUUGUACCCACGAUAAAUCAUCUAGUUCUGCAAUUUCAACUUUACCGAUUAGUUCUCCAAAACUUUGGAACAAAUAACUGUCGGUAAAGUUACGAUCCGUGAGUCCAGCAUAUCUAUUUGGUCUGUUCAACCUUGUUUCAACAUCUUCCAAAUAUCUUGAACAGAAGGUCAUACAUUCCUCUGCCAAGUAGCCUUCAGCAAUCGAUCCUUCUGGAUAACGCUUGUUGCGGCAAUAAGACUUUAAUUUUGAUAGGAACCUAAACACAAUAUACAACAUUGUCAAAAGUUGUAACUAAAGGCACAUGGGUGAAUGAAGGAAAAUUUACAAAAUUGUAAUUAACACCUUUCUAUGGGAUACAUCCAUCGAUAGAAAACGGGUCCGCCAAGAAUUGCUUCAUGCGGGAGAUGGAUUAUCAAGUGAACCAUAAUAGUGAAGAAGGAAGGUGGGAAGAUUUUCUCCAUGUUGCAUAGAGUUAAAGCGGCUCGAUCCUGUACCUUCUGAAGUUCUUGAACAUCCAAAACUUUGCCACAAAUGGCUUUCAUUAUAUUGGAUAGUUCAAUUAUACAAGACGUCACCUUCUUCGAAAUACAACAUCGUAGAGCAACUGGCAGUAAAUCUUGCAUCAAGAUGUGAUAGUCAUGUGACUUUAGCGAAUAUAGUCUUCGAUCUUUAACACUAACACAUCGAGAUAUAUUUGAUGCAUACGCAUCUGAAACCUUUAUAUCCUUCAACACCAUGCAGAACACUUCUUUCUCUGUCUUCGACAUUGAGAAAAUUGAAGGCGGAAACCGAUAUUUACCAUUCGGAAGUGGAUUCGAAUGAAGAUCAAGUCGAAUUCCCAUCUGAACUAAAUCAAGUCGACUCUGAAGAUUGUCUUUUGAUUUUCCGUCUACAUUCAAAAUUGUACAGACAAUGUUCUCGCAGACAUUUAUCUCAAUAUGCAUAACAUCAAGAUUGUGUCGUAAAAGGUGGUGCUCCCAAUAAGGUAACUAAAAAAAAUACUUCUUUUUUUCCACAAGUCCGCCUCAUUAGGAUCAUCCUCUUCAUCAGAGUUAUCAUCAGCUUCAUCAUUUGAUUUUCUAUUCCUUUGCGUGUUUGCCGGUUGAUUCAUCUUCCCAUAACUGAAAUUCAUAUCUUCCAAUAUUAACAAGAUUUCAGAUCCACUUGUCUGCGAAGGAGCUUCUCUAAACUCUUUAGUACCGUCAAAUGCCGAACUCUGAAAUCUAAAUCUAUGAUUUUCCGGUAACCACCGACGAUGCCCCAUGUAAGAGAACUUCUUCACAUUGUAUAACCAUUGCGAACAUGUUUGUGCAGCACAACAGGGGCACGCAUAACGACCCUUGGUACUCCAACCGGAUAAAUUGGCAUAAGUGGGGAAGUCAUUAAUGGUCCACAUCAAAGCUGCACGUAAAUUAAAGUUCUCCUUUCUGAGCACAUCAUAUGUCUCGACACCAGCCCAUAAUUGUUUUAACUCUUCAAUAAGUGGCUGUAAAUAAAUGUCGAUAUCAUUCCCGGGCCCUUUCUCUCCAGGGAUAAUCAUAGAUAAGAUAAGGGAAGAUUGCUUCAUGCAAAUCCACGGAGGCAGAUUGUAAGGAACAAGCACCACUGGCCAUGUACUGUAUGCAGUACUCAUGAUCUUGUAAGGAUUAAAUCCAUCAGAUGCUAGGCCAAGCCUGACACUCCUCGGAUCGCUUGAAAAGCUUGGAAAUUUAUUGUCAAAUGAUUUCCAAGCUAAAGAAUCUGCUGGAUGCCUUAAUAGUCCAUCAUCGGUUCGUCCUUCAUGGUGCCACGUCAUUGACUCCGCUAUCUUCGACGACAUGAAAAGCCUUUGAAGCCUUGGUAUCAGUGGAAAAUACCGCAAAAUCUUGACCGGCUUCUUUCUUGGCUGUGCAUCAUUUUCAUCGUCGUUCCCAUCUUCUGUGUUUCUAUUCAUCCAAUGGGAUUCGCCGCAUACAUGACAGCACUGUUGGUUUCUCCGAUCGCCCCAGUACAACAUGCAAUCAUUCGGGCAACUAUGGAUUUUGUUGUACCCAAGACCUAAGUCUUUUAUUAUUUUCUUCAUAUCUUUGCAUGACUGAGGGAUUUUUGCAAACGGAAACAUUUCUCUCAAAAACUCUAACAGCAUUGUCAAUGAGUUCCCGGUCCACCCUCCCAAACAUUUUAACUGGAAAAGACGAAUGCAGAACGACAUUUUUGAAAAUUUUGAUCCCUCAUAUAGUUCUUCGUUCAUCUCAUUAAGUAGCGCGUAGAACUUUGCCGCUUCUCCAUUCGGCUCUUCAUGAUGUUGGUUUCUUCCGGGUUCAGUAAAAGCAUUUCCACCGAGAUUACAAUCAUCAGAUGGCACAAAGUCGGGUGGGAACGACUGUAAACCAUGACUGUGAAUAUUAAAUGCUUCCCGCAACAUCCCUUCCAUGUCAUCCCCUCUAACAGACUGAUGGUAGGCAGUACUAUCAUAAGAUACAUCCAUCCUUGAAGAGGAAGUACUAGGCGGGCAUUCUCCAUGAAAAAACCAUUGUUUAUAACCACGAACAAACCCAUCAACAAUUAGAUGCUCGUAUACAACUUCACGAUAAUGCCAGUUUAUGUUGACACACUUCUUACACGGGCAAAGAAUCAUGUUCUCUUGGCUUGCAUAUUGAAAUGCAAAAUUUAGAAAAGUUUGUACUCCAUUUCGAUAACCGUCGCUUACCCUUGACAAAUUCAUCCAAGACCGGUCCAUUUUUUAUUUCUUGAAGCCUAAUCUUGACAAUAAAUUGCACGGGUUUAGGAUUUAGGAAUAAGUAUAGUUAAGCUAUGUAAGUUAUGUAUUAUGUAAGUUAGUUAUUACCCAAAUUAUGUAAGUUGUGUAUUAUGAAAAUUAUGCUAUGUAAGUUAUGUAAGUCACAUAAGUUAUGUAAGAAGUUAUUUAUGUAAGUUAUUUAUUAUGAAAAUUAAGUAAGUUAUGUAAUUUACGAAUAAUUAAAAAUAUGUAAGUUAUGUAAGUUGUAAGUUAUGUAUAAUAUUAAUUAACUAAGUUAUGUCAUUUAUGUAUCAUAUUAAUGUAAGUUAUGUAAUUUAUGUAUAUUAACUAAUUAAUUUAUGUAAGUUAUGUAUAAUAUUAAUGUAAGUUAUGUAUAAUAUUAAUUAAUUUAGUUAUGUCAUCUAUGUAUAAUAUUAAUGUAAGUUAUGUAUAAUAUUAAUUAAUUAAGUUAUGUCCCUUACAAUAAGAGACAAAUAUUGAUUUUAUAAUAUAAACAUUGGAUAAACAAUUUUGUUUAAAAAAAAGAUUGGAUAAACAGUAUUUUAUAAUAUAAUAUUAAUUUUAGAUACAAAUAUAAUAUUAAUUUUAGUUACAAAUAUUAUACAAAUAGUAUUUUAUAAGGUAAAUAAGCAUUUUGCAUGCAACUUGACUAAGAAAUUAGUAGCAAAUAGGGAAUUGAGUUUGUAUAAAAAACGUGGACCGUCUCUCUAUUAGGUAGCUGUCAAUGGCAUUUUAACUCCAACCAUCUCACAUUCUUACCGAAUUGAAUGUGUGUUUUAAAUUCUCAACCCAUCAAAAUAAAAAAUUAAAGAGAAAUUUUGAAUUGAACUUUAUAUACAAAAUAGAAUACAAUAUAUUACCUCAUUUUCUUUCUACCAUUUAAUCAAAUGAAAGUUAUUGUUAAUCUCUUCUUUUCCUUAUCUUUCCUCAUUUUAGAUAAUCUAAUAAAAGAAUAUAGUUUAAUCCAAACGUAAAAUUAAAAAUUAAACAUUAUUGGGAGGAACAGUAACAAACCUUAAAAUAAUUAAUUUUCAUGGAUAAUCAAAUAGACAUAAAAGCAUAAAUUGAUUUCAAAGAAGACGAAAUGUAAAUAUCCAACAGUAAAAAAUAACUUCAUAAUUAUUAAAUGUCAAUAUAGUCUACUUACAAAGAAAAAUAACUCAAGAUAAUUUAAGAUAUAACAUUAUUUCUUAAAAUUGAUCAUCCUAAUUGAGUUAUACUCUUCAAUUUUUUAUUAAACCGAAGCCAUCAAUAAGAGAAUUGGUUGAAAAUUGUUGAGCUGUAUCCUUAUCAAUUUUUUAUACUGGCUUUGGUAGUUUCGAUUAAGGGUUGUAUUUGCUCUCCCUCCUCCUUUUUACUUGCGAUCUAGUGUGUUUUUUUUACUGAGGUUGCUGGUAGUGGAUUUGGUUAUGAUGAUGUUCGGGUUGACUGGGGUUUUGGGUGUGAGGUUGACGGUAGGUGCAAGCUGAAGUAGUGAUCUGGACUCUUAUUUAGUGAAUAGUGUGAUGGUAGGGCUGGAGUAGAGGUUGGAGCAGUUGGCGCUGGUGAAGAUGGGAGAGGGAGUUGUCCUUGGCAGUGGUGGUUGGCAACUUUGACUUCAUCAACAGGCUCAAGGUCAUAUGGACCAAAUAUUGUAAAAUAUAUUUUCAGAAUUAUAUAAAUCUAACAUUAAUGGUCAAAGCCAAAAAAAUAUAUAUGUAUUUAGCAUAAAAAAUAAAAGGAUCAUACAUUACCCAAAUAGUGAAAAUGGAUCCAAAUUCAAUCAAAGUCCUCUAAUUAAUUUGUCCAAAUCAACAUUGAUUCAGAAUUUAGAAUUUUCUUUUCAUUUGAAAAAUUAAACUCAAUAAUUGGUAGACUUAAAUAAAAUUCGGUGUCUACACUACUCAAUAAUUAUCAGCUAACAAAGUGAUGAAUUCAACUAUAGUAAAUUUGGUUAACAUCAGUUUUGGAUUUCAUUCAUGGACUCAUUAAGUUAAUAAUAAUCAUAAUAAUUAAAGUAAGAAAGUGAUGAACAUUUGCUUUAACUAAUAAAUUUAGCAAAUUAAAUAUACAUACCUCUUAAAGUUCACAAGGAAGUAAAGGCUGCAAGGAAGUAGAGGCUGCAAGUUCCUGGGAUUGCUUCACGAUUGAAUUUCCAGCAGUUUAUCAAUUGAUCAAAAAGUCUACUUUCUGCUGCAGUUGACUAAGAAAACAUUAUACAGGGUCAUCUAUACAGAGAUGAGCCAAGCAACAAUAAGGUAAAUAACAUAUAUAAAGAGAAAGCAGCAGUUUAAAAUAUACAAUAUGCAUAUAAUUUUUUACGACAAAACAUGCAGACAUAAAUUUUAAAUUUCAAAAUAUAUAUAUUCAUACCUAACACUAAUCUCAUUUAACUCGAAUUCAUACCCAACACUCAUCUCAUUUAACUCGAAUAACAUAGAUGGCAAAUACGUCAGUAAGACUAACCAAAACCAAAACAUGUAAAUGGAUAGUGAAAGUGAAUCUAUUGAGCUCUCCCCUAAGCCAAUGUUACAAAAAUGAAUUGCCAUUGGUCCAAACCCAAAAUGCACAAAAAAAUACGGGAAAGGGGAAGUCCAUCGAUACCAGAAAAUAAUGUUGUUCGGCUAUCAGAAAGGGAUUGAGCAAUUGGGAAAUUGGGGAAAAUACUUUGGGGAAGAAUAACUUGGGGGAAAUUGGGGGAAAAGAAGUUGGGAAAUUGGGGAAAUGAAAUCGUGGAAAUUUGACUUGGGGGAACACUAAAGGAAAUUCCCAAAUUCCCAAACCCUUGACACGCAAAAACGCCGAAAUUCCCCGAAUUCCCAAACAAACAGACCAAAGGUUGGUGAUUGAAUUUAUUAUUUAAACCCCAGUUUCCCAAAUUACACUUAACCCAAACCCUAAAUCAAGAUACAGCGAUUUAAAAGACAAAAAACUUACCUUUUUCACCACAAAUUCUGCAACUUUGAUGGCAUCCUGUCAAGAUUGGCUCAACUGUUGCUUCGUUUCACCCGAUUUAUGAGUUCUCCUCUCCCUUUUUUCCUUUGUAUUUUCUCUUUCGAUAUUAUAGCUUUCGUUUUCUCCUCUCUGAUUCUGUUUCUGUUUGUGUUCUGCCUUACAGAAAAUGAUAAGUAAAAACACGCGGAACAGAAACGGCAUCGUUUUCCCAAAAUUUUAAAACACCAUUCUGGCGUUUGUUAGGAAAACGCCACUAUUUCUUGUAUAUUUCCGGCGUUUCCAAAAAAUGCCACUACAAAUUGAAGUUAUAAUCUGAAACGGCGCCGUUUAAUAAAGCUUUAAUGCAUAUUUCAAACUAUUUUUUAACUUAUUAAACUUAAUUCUAUUUAAAAUAAUAUUUAAAUGACAAAAACAUUAAUAUAAUUGAUAUCAAUUGGUACUUUAAUUUGAUUUUUUAAAACAUUAUUUAAAGAAAUUAAUCUAAACUAACCUAAUUAAAAUCCUUAUCCGACCCCUGAAACCCUAAAUCAUAAAUUCUAAACCACUAACCCUUAGCCCGUAACUCGUAAAACUUAAACCCCUAACCCUAUAUCCCAAACCUUAAAUCCAUAUAUACCCCCUAAUCCUUAAAAUAGCACGGCCAUCAGAAAUAAUCCCUAAAUCUUUAAUAAUCAUAUAUAAAAUAGUUAUAAUUGAUUAAACAAUAAUUAAUAGUAAUAAAAACUUUUAAUAAUUUGUAAUAUUACCUUUAUAAUAUUUAUUUUUUUGUAUAAAGUUUGAAAUUUAUAAUAUUUAAUUUUAUUGAUAAAUAAAUAAAUUUAAACUAUAUACUCAUAAUUUCAAUAUAUUAAAUUUAUUAAAUAUUAUAUAUUUUAUAAAUAUAUAUAUAAGAACAUAUUUGAUAAAACUAAAUUAAUCUAAUAACUUAAACUCUAACAUAACCGUUGAAACCCUAAACCCGGCCCAAAUCCAUAACCCCCUAGCCCCUUACCCCUAAAUCCCCUAACCCCUAAAGCAUAACCCUUAAACCCUAAAUCCCCCUAACACCUAAACCUUAAAUUUUUCAAUUCCACAAACAAACGGUGACGUUUUCACAAAAUUGUAGACAUAUUGAUAAUUAUCGAUUAAUCGACAUGCAUAAAGUGAUCAUGAUCUACCUAUUAUAAUAUUCAAUAUAUUAAAUUUAUUCUUGAAUAUCUAUUUUACAAAUAUAUAAGAACGUAUAUAUUGAUCACCAUAAAAAAUAAUAAAAAACAAAUCUAAUUAAUUAAACCCUAACACAUGACCGUUGAAAUUAACCCUAAAUCUCAAACCCCAAAACCUCUAACCCUUAAAUUAACCUUAAAUCCCCAAUUACCUUAAAUCUAUACCCCGUACUCAUUAAAAUACCGUCCAUAAAAAAAUUCCCUAAAUCUUUAAUAUAUAUAUAUAUAAUCAUAAUUAAAUUAAAUAUAGUCAAUAAUUAUUGUUAAAAUAUAUAUAAAUUAGUCGAACAAUAUAUACGUACUACCAAAAUUAAUUUAUUACUCUUAUAAAAAGUUAAUUCUAUUUUUAAUUUACUCUUUACAUUAAUACAACAAUUUAAGUUUUACUAUAUUUUAUUUUAUUCAUAAUUUAAUAUAUUUUCUCUCGUAAAGUAGUUUAAAUCAACUGUUAUAAAUAGUUAGCUGUUACAUAUAUACGACUUCUCUUUAAUAAAAACUUUUUUUAUUAAUCAAUAUUAUUUGUUAAUUAUAAUUUAAAUGUAAAUUGUCCCACUAUAUAUAUAUAAUAAAUAGAACAAAAUAUUAAUUAUUUCAACUUAUAAGAUUUUUGUUACUAUUAGCGGCGCUUCGGCAAAAACGCCGCUAAAGGUUAAUACAUUCGCGGCGCUUAGAUACAAACGCCACUGAAUACAGGAGAAUUAGCGGCGCAUAUAUAAAAACACCGCUAAAAACCCGAGCAUUAGCGGCGCAUAGGCGAAAACGCCGCUAUAGACCCAGAGCAUUAGCGGCGCUUAGACGAAAACGCCGCUAAAGACUCGGAGCAUUACCGGCGCUUAGAUGAAAACGCCGCUAAAGACUCGGAGCAUUAGCGGUGCUUAGACGAAAGCGCCGCUAAAGACUCGGAGCAUUAGCGGCGCUUAGACGAAAACGCCGCUAUAGACCCGAGCAUUAGCGGCGCUUAGACAAAGACGCCGCUAUAGACCCGAGCAUUAGCGGCGCUUAGACAAAAACGCCGCUAUAGACCUGAGCAUUAGCGGCGCUUAGACAAAAACGCCGCUAAAUGUUUAAAAAAUUGCAAAAAACGACGCCGCUCGUCUUAGGUUUUUUGUGGCGCUUUAUAUAAAACGCCGUUAAUUCCUAUUUUUAGCGGCGCUUCCGUAUAAACGCCGCUGAUGCUCUACCUUUAGCGGCGCUUUGGCUAAAUCGCCGCUAAUGCUCUAUUUUUUGUGGCGCUUUUGUUCCAAACGCCGCAAAAAGUGCCUCUAAAAGCCUAUUCUGGUGUAGUGGUUUAUUUAUAAGAGUUCUCUUAAAUAUUUAUGUCAAAUCCAAAUUGUUGUGAAUUGGUAGCCAGGAUGGAAAUCAAUUCUUUUAACAUUUCAAGGAGUUUUGUCCAUAAGUGAAAGUCUUUGGUAAAAGUAUUAGAUAAUAAGUAAUUGAUAAAAAUUUUCAUUCUAAAGGCAACUAGCAAAGAGCUGUUUAAUAUUUUUCAACAUUCAUGAAGGGUUUUUAUUUACUUUUAUUGAACGAAAUAGAUUUUUUUUUCCUAAUAAAUGAACCACGAGAAGAAAAAUGUUUUCCAAGGAAUAUUCUUACCAUAUCUAUUUAAUAUGUAAUUCGCAACUUGUUCUUCAAAUGAAAACCAUAAUAAUUUCCCCAGAAUUUCUAUUUGAAAAUUUGGAAAUCUUUUAAAUCAACCGAAUUUUCUCACUCGAAUACUUUAUCAGCUUUAUAUAAAUUAUUCUUUGCAUCAAUAAAUAUUGUUCAUGACCUUGCACCCAUUUUCAUGCAGAAUUAUUUCUCCCAUGCAGGAAAUGGUCUCCAUGAAUUAUUGCCGUGAUAUCUAUUUUGAUGAUAUGACAUGGUUUCUUUUGAUCCAAAAAAGAUGAUGAAUGACAUGAAAUUGAACUAUGAUUUUAAAGAAGGGUCUUGAGUUUAUAUAAGAUUAUAUAGGCGGUAAUUCAAUUUCCCUUUCCUUGUUGGAAAAGGAAUUCCAUUUUGACUUUAAUUGUAAUUUUUAAGUUGUUGUUUUUUUAUUGUUAAUUAUUUAAAAAAUAAUCGCAUUUUAACUUGCAAACUUAAAUCUUAAACUAUUAUCUUUAUGUUUACUUUUUAAUGAUAAUUAACAAAAAUAUUUGGUUUUAAAAUUUUAAUACAAUCGAAACACAAUUCACACACAUGAAUGAUAAAAUUUGACGUGAUUAAAUAAAUAUUGAAUUUUUUAUAUUUUUAAUAAUAAAUAUAGGUAAAAUGGUAAUAAAUUGGGAUUUUAAUGUCAUUUAAAACGGGUCAACUAAAUUUUAGAUUAGAUAUUCAAUAUUAAUAAUUAAUAUAUAUUAAUUGAAUUAUAAAUGAGUUUAGAAAUUCAAAAUUGUAAAAAUUAAUAUAUAUAUAUAUAUAUUGAAUUAAAUGACUACCAUACAUAAUCUUAUUCAAAUAAUAAUAAUGAAAAAUAAAACUGAGUGUUUAAGACAAUUUCGUUGUAUUUGUUUGUUCUAUGAUCCAACUAUGGUAGGUAAGCGUGAUGUAGGUUCAUCGUACUCCCAUCCAGUGGCUUUAAUUUGCUCUAAUGGAAUCGAAAACGAAUCAAUCCUUUUAACUUCUUCUUUUUCUUCUUCUUCAUCAUCGGAAAUCGACUUUAUUUCCAAAAAAAGUUUUGGGUCGAUUUUGGAGUUCCAAUCAAUAUCAUCGAUAUACAUAUCUGCUGCAUUACUUGGUAACUUAUUUGUGCAAGGAAAAUGAUGAUAAUAUUCCCAGAAUCUCUGUUUGGCUUCCUGGAAAGCUUUUAAACCAGCUGAAUCAUCCCAUUCGAAUACUUUAUCGGUUUUGAACAAAUUAUUCUUUGAUUCAACAAAUCUUUUCCAUGGCAUUGCACCCACUUUUAUGCAGAAUUUUUUCUCCCAUGCAGGUAAUGGUUCCCAUGAAUUACUGUUAUCAUUUUGUUUGGGACGAGUAAAUUUCGAACUGUAGUACCUUUCUCGGCAAUUAUGAUAUCUUCUUUGAUAGUAUGACAUGAUUUCUUGUAAUCCAAACAAAUAAAUGAAUUGAAAUUGCUAAUGACAUGAAUUUACAGUGAGGAGACUUGUUGGGUUUAUAUAAUAUUAUUAGAGUCGCUGGUGACUCAAUCCUUUUCCUUGUUAGAAAAGGAAUUCCAAUUUCAGUUUAAUUAUGAUUUCUAUUUUUAAAAUAUUUGUAUAAUAAAAUUAUUAAAAAAUAACUAUAUCUGUAUUGAUAAUAUUUUCUUAUUAAAUGGGUUUUAUGAGUUAAAUAACAAUCAAACCAAGAUUGGGAGAUUGAACUGCAUCAGGUCUUGGGGGUGAUCCAUCUCUUCAACCACUAUCCACCAUCUACAUCCUUCCCCUAUAUAAACUCUGCAAAAUAUAUACAUAUAUAGAGAGAGAGAGGAACAAACAAAUUAUAACCAUAGCAAAAAAAUCAAAACUAAAAUAUAACCAUUUUUCUUAUAAGGUGAAAAGAAAUAAUGGGCUGAGUACUUGAAAGAACUAACGACCUAAGUUUAUAAAUUAUUAUUUAGUACAAUGAUUCGAAUCCAAUUGCUUUUAAGAAAAAUGAAUACUCGACCAAUAUAUUACAAUAUGAGUUGUUAUUAUGAUUUAAUGUAACAUUCAAUCAAUAAAAUAUAACCAAUUUCUGAACGCUACCUAACAAUAUUUUUUUUGCCAAAGGGAAAGCAGAAAAAUUAUAUAUUUUUUAUAUUUUUAUUUUUUCACCCUUUUAAUUUUCUUUUCAUUCUACCAACUAAAGUUUUAAUGAAAAACAUGGAACUUGACUAUGCAUAUAACGUACCUAUCUUGUAGAACCAUACCUCCUAUAUCCGCAAUUUCUUUUAAAGCAUUAAUUCCUCCAUCUUUGUACCAUGUUGGUUUUGGACUAGAUGUUUUGUUCAUGUUGAGUAAAUGCAUCUGCAUAACUCCCCGUCUGGUUCUUGACUUGACUCAACUCGGAUCCACAUCAUAGAAAAUUGGUAAAACAAUGUGUUUAGAAGAUUUCUUGUGCUCCAAUAUCAUUACAAGUUCGUUAAGACACCAUGUGGAUGCAGCAUAAUUCUUCGAGAAAAAACGAUAGAAAUUUUGGAGUGGUGUAGUAUUGCUUUUUCAAUUUCAUCUUUUAUGUUAUUCCCUCUCUCGAUUUCCUCAUCAUCUCUAAAUGUUUGAAUUCCUAAGUGCACCAAAGCUGUGUAAAGAUGAUCCGUGAAACUUUUGCGCGUAUCUUCACCUCUAAAACUCAAGAAUACAUGAUAAGUACCUCGCGAGAUAUCUGAUACCGCCAUUGAAGAAGAAAAUGAAGUCGUCCUGUAUUGUUAUGUGAAGAAAUCUAGGUAAACUAGAGAAAAUCAAUGAAGAAAUAUGUUUUCAAUCUGAAUUUAGUCUAUUACUUAGUCCAAUACAAAGCUAGACGUGUAUAUUUAUAGGUACAAUUAACUGCCUUCCUUAACAAAUUAGCUAACAACUCAGCUAACUCUAACUGCCUCUCUAACAGUCUUAUUAUCUUUAACACCUAUGUAGGAAUGAAGCAUUAAUAACCGGUUGAUUUCAGAAACAGAAUUGGUGGUUAAAUGGACUAAAUCACCAGUUUUUAUUUGACUUCUUGUUAUUAUUUAAAGAAAAUAAAUCUAAAAAAAUUAAAAUUAAAUAAAAUAAUAAAUAUUGACGUAUAUUGCACAUUAAAGUAAAUUUGAAAAAGAGAAAUGAGAGGGACAUAAGAGGGGGAGAAUAAUUCCCAAGUACUUGGUGUGGAAAAUAGAGGUUCUAGAAAACGUUUCGAUUACUUUCCAUUUUGGAGUCAUGCUUACGGUCUUAGUCUUUAGACCAUUGAGGUUGUUAAUAUUAUCUGAAUAGAGUUUAUUUGAAUAAAUUAUCAAAUUCAGACUUUAAAUAAUGAUUUAUAUCAAAUCAAAGCUGGCCCUAAAUUAGCAAAUUACGAGGGGCUUCAACAUAAUAAAUUCAUGGGCUAACCAAUUUCAGGGCAAUAGAAGUAGUGAAGACGAUGGGAUAAGGCUAAGAUUGACAUGCGAUGUGAAAAAGCAGGUAAGAGCAGUAGACUAUGAAAAGUCAUUAUAUAUUUUUCAACCACCUCUAUAAUUCCACCAGUGUCUGGUACUACUCGCUCGAGUGCUAACACUCUCCUCGUUACGGCCCUCCAACUUUUUCGUCCACAAUAUUUUAAGAAAAACAUAAUUCAAAUAAUAUUUUUUGGUAUCAUUCAUAUUUGUUUUAUAGUUUAUACUCAAGGUUUGUAAUUAUUUUUAAAAUUCGGACCUACAUUUCUCUUAAAAGUACAAUACCUUAAUUAUUCAAAUAAUAAUUUUAACAGAAAGGAUGAGCACCAAAUGGUGGAUAAAUACUAACUAUUAUCUUUAUGUUUACUUUUUGAUGAUAAUUAACAAAAUUAUUUGGUUUUAAAAUUUUAAUACAAUCAAUGAAACACAAUUCACAUACAUGAAUGAUGAAAUUUGAUGUGAUUAAAUAAAUAUUAAAUUUUGUUAUAUUUUUAAUAAUGGAUAUAAGUAAAAUGGUAAUAAACCGGCAUUUUAAUGUCAUUUAAAACGUGUCAAAUAAUUAUUAAAUUAGAUAUUCAAUAUUAAUAAUCAAUAUAUAUUAAUUGAGUUAGACAUUAUAAUUAGUCACGACUGUCGAAAUUCCAAAUUGUAAAAAUUAAUAUAUAUUGAAUUAAAUGUCUACCAUACAUAAUCUUAUUCAAAUAAUAAUAAUGAAAAAAAAAGAGAGUAUUUAAGACAAUUUCGUUGUAUUUGUUUGUUCUAUGAUCCAACUAUGUUAGGUAAGCGUGAUGGAGGCUCAUCAUACUCCCAUCCAGUGGCUUUAAUUUGCUCUAAGGGAAUCGAAAACGAAUCAAUUCUUUUAACUUCUUCUUCUUCCUCUUCAUCAUCAGAAAUCGACUUUAUUUCCAAAAAAAGUUUUGGGUCGAUUUUGGAGUUCCAAUCAAUAUCAUCUAUAUACAUAUCUGCUGCAUUACUUGUCAACUUAUUUGUGCAAGGAAAACGAUGAUAAUAUUCCCAGAAUCUCUGUUUGGCUUCUUGGAAAGCUUUUAAACCAGCUGAGUCAUCCCAUUCGAAUACUUUAUCGGUUUUGAACAAAUUAUUGUUUGAUUCAACAAAUCUUUUCCAUGGCAUUGCACCCACUUUUAUGCAGAAUUUUUUCUCCCAUGCAAGUGUUGACACCAUUUUUUGGAUGAAAAACGGGGUCGACUUGGGUUUUGAAAACGAAAACGGGAGUCGCCACCAAUCUUUUUUGAUGAGGUGUGAUUGAGUCACAUCGUAAAAGUGGUUGUUUUUAAUAAACAAUUUAAUUUUAUUAAAACAACGAGUUUGGUCCACGAAAUUCAGAAGAAUGGGUUCGGGAGUCAGUUACGUACGAGGAAGGAUUAGCACCCUCGUAACACCCAAAAAUUGGUACCUAGUUGAUUAGUUAAUGUCUUAAUAUCAAAAAUUGAAAACUUUGAAGAAAUUUAAAAAUACGAUCCUUAUAUUAAAAUGUUGAAAAUUUUUGGAAAAUGGGGGCAUAUUUCACGUUAAUCGAGGAAGAGAAUCAUAUUCAGUAAGUUAGGACACAAUGUCUCGAAUUCCUGAUGCUCGAAUGAAUGCUGGAAAUUUAAAAGGUAUUUAGCUAUCUCGGAUUUAAAAAAGGGAUCACGACCAGUAAGUUAGGACACUAUCUUUUUUAUUCCCGAGAUCAUUUAAAACUUGAGUUUGAAAAUAUUCACGUAUUUAGAUUUAUUGUGAAAAUCGAAACCCAGUAAGUUAGGGUACAACUUUCUCAAAUCUAAACACGAAAUUUUGCUUAUUUUAAAAAUCAUAAUUAAUGCAUCUAAUAAAAUUAAUCUAACAUGAAAUAGUAGAAAUGAAACUCGAUAUUAAUACACGUGUUUAUAUAUAUGUUACAUAUAGACAAAAGAGAUAUGAAUGUGUAUAUUAUAAAACAAUGUAAGUAUGUAUAUACAUGUGUAUGUAUAGGAAGAAUAUAUAUGUGAAAUAUAUAAAAAAAAUAAAAUAAGAUGAAAAUAUAAAAAAUAUAUUUCAAUAUAUAUAUAUAUAUGAGUAUGAACAUACAUAUUUGUGAGAGAAAAAAAGUAUAUAGAUAUACCUAUAUAUAUAUAAAAGAGUAUUCAUGUAUAUAUUAAAUAAGUUUAAAAUAUAUAUAUAUGUAUACGUAUAUAUAUAUGUAAGUAAUUAUAUAUUUAUAAUAUAAUAUGUCACAUAUAUCCAAAAUUUAUAUAAGUAAAUAUGAGUGGAAAUAUAAUGAUAAUAAUAAUAACAUUAAUGAUAUGAUGAUAGUAGUAAUAAGAUUAAAAUAAUUAAUUUAAUAAUAAAAAAGCUAAGAAAAAACAAAAGCAGUUUCAAAUUGAAAAUAAACUAAAUCUCAGGGGCGAAAUCAAAACUGAAAAACAAAGAAAUGGAUUAAAAUGUGACGCGCGCGAAAAGAAAUAGGACCAAACGGGGAAAUAAACCAAUCCCUGGACACGUGUCCACUUUCCAGCGCGUCAGUGAGCCAGGGACCCGAUUGAAGACGAAAUAAAAUUUUGGGGCCAAAUUAAAAAAUAAAUAACCAAGCAAAAGGGCUAAAUUAGAAAAAAUCAAUAAUGAGGAGGGACUAAGAGCACAAAUAGCCCCUUGAUCAGAAACGCGCGGAUCCCCUAGGCGGGUCGGGUCUACGCGCGGAUCCCCACUAAAACGGCGCCGUUUUGGAAUUUUGAAGGGCUGGGCAAAACGGUGCGUUUUGCCAGCCUAUAUAAAUCAAAAUUUUUUUUAAAAAAAUAAUUUUUAAUCAUUCUAAAAAAAAACUCUCUCUCUCUCUCUCAAAAACCUCUCCCCAGAAACCGACGAAAGGCUCCGGCGCACCUCCGCCGUAGACGGCAGCCGGAGGUGCAAAACGGAACCUUUCUUAGCCCUACUUGAAGCCCGUUCCCCUUAGAACCUGGAUUCAAAGCCGAAUCCUUUAAAAGUCGAGUCAAAAUCGAAAAGAAGAGAAGGAAUCCUUUAAAAGCCGAACCUCGAUGCCUCUUCUUAGGAAUAAACGCGUCCAACACUUUGCCAUGGAACUCAAAGAUUUUCCAUGGUCCCUUCCAAUGAAAACAAGAAGGAAGAUUAGAAACAUAAACUGAAAUCACCAUUUUCUCCAAGGAUUUAGCCUAGUAAUAGUUAACAGUAACUCCACGGAUCUGACUAAAAGCACAAGUUAAGUGAAUUACCAAGAAUAAUGUUCUUCAAUACUAUUCCAAAUUCAAUUUUGGAACUUCUGUUAUCAUAGCUUUCAACUGUUUGAAACUCUGAUGGCAUUAUUCAAUCGCACAUAACUAACAUUUUCUGUAGCAACUUCGUCAUGGUAGAGCUAUCAUCGACAAGCCUGAACAAAUCAUCUAUAGUAUACAAUAAAUCCUAGAAAACUACACACUUCUAUAUUAUUUCCCAGAGAUUCCCUAAUUCACAUUUAUCAGGAGUUCAUUUGAAAUAACUCAAAUAUUUUCUGCUGUUAAUAAAAGGUUUAGAAAACUUAUUUCUUGAAAUUAAAAUUCACAUUUAUUGAUCUUCACAAAUAAUUAUUUCUUUCGUAAUGUCUGUAACACUGUUUCUCCAAAACUAAUUGUGUUCAAUUUUUUUUCUUCACAUGAAUUGAGUAUCUUUAAUUAUCUAACAACAACUCUGAUAUGAUACAGCUAGAAACUUUUGUCUAUUAAAUAUAGAGUAAACUACACCUAUGGUCACUUUUGUUUACUUUAGGUUACAUUUUGGUCACUUAUGUUUAAAAUAUUACGUUUUAGUCACUUGCGUUAUCGUGUUGUAACAUUUUAAUCAUUGAGCCAUUAAUUGCCGUUAACGGUGUAACAGUAAGCUAACGUGGCACGUUAAAUCAUCAUUUUAAACAAAAAUUUUAGGUUAAAUCAUACAACCGAUCCCCAUAUUUUUUUUAUUUUGGGCAAUUUAAUUUUUUUCUUUUAUAUUCUUUAAACUUUACUCUCUCUUUUUCUCUUUAUUUUCCAUUAUCUUCUGUUUCUCCUUCUAUUUUCCUACCUUCUCCAUGUCUUUUAACAUAUUAAGAAGUCGAAUUGACAGUGAAGAAAGAAGUAGAAAGUCGAAAGCCAUCACUGCCUAUAAUCAAAACCCAUAAACCCGUACCAUGACUCUUUUUUUACGACCAAUUCAACUUCCUGAUAUGUUAAAAGAAAUGGAGAAAGAAGGAAAAUAGAGGGGGAAGCAGAAGAAAAUGGAAAAUAAAGAAAAAAAGAAAGUUAAAAGAACAUAAAAGAAAAAAAAUUAAAUUGCUCAAAAUGAAAAAAAAAAUAUGCGGACCAAUUUUAUAAUUUAACCUAAAAUUUUGUUUGAAAUUAUAAUUUAACGUGCCACGUCAGCUUACUGUUACAUUGUUAACAGCAAUUAAUGGCUCAAUGACUAAAAUGUCACAGCAUGAAAACGUAAGUGACUAAAACGUAACAUUUCAAACAUAAGUGACUAAAAUGUAAACUGAAGUAAACAAAAGUGACCAUGGAUAUAGUUUUCCCUUAAAUAUAUAAAGUGACCAUGCAAUUGAUAAUCAUAUACAAUAAUCAACAUUUGACUAAACUUUGCAACCUAUACAAGUCUUUUUCGGAUUUCGACGAAAUAUAAACAAAAAUCCCGAGAAGAUACUUAAAACAUUUACUCAUCCGUGGCAACUGACUGAAAAAAUUUGGGUUGUCGUCUAGCUCAUAAUCGUAUACAAGGUCAAUACCAAUUUCUAGCACCGAUAAAUCUGAAAGAACCCGAAGACUAACAUGAUCACCAGCUUCUAAUUCAUCACCCCUAAAGUUCCAACAAGUCGUCCAGUAUAAGGUAUUCUUAGUUUCAGGAAUUCCCAUGAAAUGUUUGGAGUAGGUCCACUUUGUACCUUUGGUCUCGUUCACAAUUUCAAGGCAUGGUAAAAAUCCAUAUGUUUUAUCAUUCUUGGCAGAAAAAAUGAUAAUCGAAUUUAAGAAGCAACUUAUCUUUCGACUAGAGUUUGGGGGCACUGAUAUUGAAACCUCAGUCUUGCCUGCUUGAUGGCCAAAGUAAUGACCAUCGUAAUCAAAUGGCAAUGGAUCAAAUGUUGUAAUUAUACCGUAAUCAUAUAAUACCUGUAGCAUUGGGUUAGAGAAUGAGUUAUUAAAAAGUAUAUAGUAUAUAAAUAAUUUUAAAUACUUGGAACUUGCAAAGGGAACUUGUGGGGAAGCAACCACUUUUGAUUCUUCUAUAUAACUGCAAAGUUGCACUUUAACAUUUCCAUAAGAUUCCAAACUGAGCAAGAAUUUAGUUAGGUCAAUCUUGAUAUUUCUUGUGGAAACUUCAUCUCCUAAAAUAUGUACAAUAAUGUGUUAUUUAUCAAUUUUAGUGAUCAUCAACAUAAUAUGCUUAUUACAAAAUAAUAGUAUUGACUUGAAUGGAGUGAUAAUUAAAACUUUUAUCAAAUACUCAUUUGACACGAAUUAAAAUCGUGACCCAUCCCCUAUACUCAAUAUUGUAUGAAAAAAAGAUAUCAAAGUAUUAAUGUUAUUAUCACUAAAAUGUAUUAUAAGACUUGUAAGAAAUAAUCAAUUAUACACAUUAUAUCUUUAUUUUUUAUUUUAUUUUUAUAUAAAAUAUAAACUUUAAAACCAUUAAAUAUGUUAAUCAAAACUCCACUGUUAUAAUUUUAUCCAUUAUUUUAGUUUCCACUUCUAUUAGUAAUAUUGGAUUAAUCAUUUAUCAAGCAAUUAACUUAUUUUAGUUAGACCCCAAUUGCAGCAUAACUUUAUAAUUAUCAUUUUAUUAUUAACCUAAAUUUCUCUCAUAAUCUAUUAAAUUGUCACAUUUCUUGAUAAUAUUUUUAUUGUAUUAGAAAGUCUUUUAGAGAAACAUUCAUCAUUUCUUGAACAUUUGUUAUUCACAUAUAAAAUGAAACAAUAAAAUAAAUAUAUAAUAGAAUGUAUUUACUAAAAUAUAAUUAUUUGAAGUCUACUCAUACCUGUAGAUAAGUGCGAAAAGUCAUAUUCAUAUCCAAUGUUGUGUUCUGAUUCAUAAGUAACGCCAAAUUUUCUUAUGCUGAGAUGCAUAGGCACUACCAUGCAACUCACAAGGUCACCACCUUCAAACUGACAGUCCGUUACUGGCCAGUGAAUCAACCACAACAUUGUGUUAUCGUUAGUCUGAGGAAUUCCAAUGAAACUUGAGCGAUAUCUCUGCAUGAUCCUUUUGGUCUCAUUGAAAAUGUGGACACCUGGUAGAAGCUCCAACAUUUGAUCACUAGCUAAAGAGAAAACAAUGCAUAAGCUGAACCGAUGGAUCUUUUCAUCUGGAUGAGAUGGUGUUGGCAAAAAAAAAGAGAUUCGAUGCUCGUUAGUGCGAUGCUUAAACCCAAUCGGAACUUCACUUCCUACAACAAAUGUGCUUGUUAUACCACAUUCUUGCAAGACCUGAUCCAAAAAGAACAAGUUAGAUGAUUAAGUAGUAUAAAAGAAAAAUUAGAUUUAAAAUUUAAGUUGGAGAACUAUUGGACCUGUGGGGUAGCUAGCAUUAUGCUGUCUGUUAGGUAGCUAUAAAGUUGCAGUCGAUUUCUGUUAAUGGAAUCCACGUUGAAUAAUCUUCUAAUCUCUUCUGCUCCAAAGUUUUCAAUUGGUUCCACCUUGAAUAGAUCUUCAACCUCAGUCAAUUUUUCACAUCCAAAAAUAUUAACACAUCGUGUGGAAGAAAAGAAGCGUGGAAGAAGUGAAGAAUUGACUCCAAAAAUAAAGUUGCACUCAAAAACAUCAAGCAAGACCGGAAGCUUUGGAAUCAUUUGGAGUUCAGUGCAAGAAGUCAAUAGAAGUUGAUCAAGUUCUGUAAGGUAUUUUAAGCUCUCGGGUAGGUAACGAAUUGGGUUUCUACUUAAAUUUAAAGAUUUCAAGGAUGCCAAGUUACAAAGAUCAUUGGGCAUGACAUCAUUAGAUAAUUUGCAACUUUCAAGGCUUAACUUUACCAAAGAGCCCGGUAGAGAUGCCCAAGAGAAACCCAAUCCUUUGCUUCUUUUCAGUAAGAGCCAAUGCAACCCCAAUCUUGAUUGAUAUAUGGCAGUUUCAUCUAAAUUAAGCACCUUCAAUAAUUCCAUAUUAUGCAACUCCCUAGGAACAUCAUCAAGUCUUGAACAACCAGAUAAGAUAAGCUCUUCAAUUGAUAUUAAUGAACCAAUUGUCCUUGGAAGUUUCCUAAGACUUGUGCAAUCUUUAAGGUUCAAGAAAGUAAGCAUCUUUAGCUCACCAAUGGAUUGAUCAACUUCCACCAAAUUUAUGCAGUCUUUAAGCAUCAACUUCUCAAGGCUAGGGAGUCCUGAAAAGCUUGGGGUUUUAAGAAGGCUAUGUGAAUGGUUGAGAUUAAGGAUCUUUAAAUUUGGGAGGCACU